AAAAAAAAAUUGUAAAUUUGUAUUUGUAUGUAUAUAUACAUGCAUAUUUCCAACAAAGCAACACCGCUAACCAUGGCUUUUUCUUCUCUCUCCCUUAUCCUUUUCUGCUUCAUCUUCAUAUCAUUCGCCAUCUCCGACGCCGUUGUUCCCCCCGCCGACACUUUUCGGUAUGUCAACCAAGGCGAUUUUGGAGAACUCGAUUCCGAAUACGCCCCAACCUAUCGUCCUCUUCCUCCAUACACCUCCCCUUUCCAGCUCUGUUUCUACAAUACCACCCCCGGCGUCUACACUCUUAGUCUCCGCAUGGGAACCGGACGUGAUGAAGCGGUCAUGCCAUGGGUGUGGGAUGCCAACAGAGGCAACCCAGUUGGCGAAAACGCCACCUUCUCAUUAGCCUCCGACGGAAACCUUGUACUCGCCGACGGAGAUGGACGGAUCGCAUGGCAAACCAACACCGCCAACAAGGGUGUCGUCGGUUUUGCCAUACUCUCCACCGGUAACAUCGUGCUUCGUGACUCCAAGGGUGGUUUCGUCUGGCAAAGCUUUGAUUCACCUACUGAUACGCUUAUGUUUGGUCAAUCUCUCCGGAUCGGAGGUCCAACGAAGCUCGUCAGCAGAGCUUCAACGACGAACAACGUAAACGGAGCGUAUAGUUUCGUGAUAGAGCCAAAAAGAUUGGGUUUGUAUUAUAAGAACAUGCUUUAUUGGUCUUCCACGUUUCCAUUGUUUCCGGAAUUGAACCAACCAAAUGUGACUAUUGUUAAUGCGACAUUCGCCAUCGUGGAAACCGAAUACAAUAACGACUUUAACGCAAUUAGGUGUCAUCUUUCAAACUCUAAUGCUCAACCUUUUUUGGACAUGGACAUACUCCGAUUCAAUAACACGUUAUCCUAUAUCCGAUUAGGCAUCGAUGGGAACUUACGACUCUACUCUUAUCGUCCUCCGAAUAUCCGUUUUAGCCAAUGGCGUAUCGUGUUCAGAUUGUUCGAUAAUAUGGAGACCACGAGGCGGGGUUUAUAUGAAGACGAGUGCCAACUGCCUGAACGCUGCGGCAAGUUUGGGCUGUGUGAGGACAGCCAGUGUGUUGGGUGUCCGUCGCCGGAGGGUGUUUUUGCGUGGAGCAAAAACUGCAAUGCGAAGACGCCGUCUUGUAAAGCGGGUGGUUCUCGUUACUACCAGCUGAAAGGAGUCGACCAUUUCACUUCUAAAUACUCUCCGGGGAGUGGGCCGAUGAAACAGAAAGAUUGCGAGAGUAAAUGCACAAAGGACUGUAAGUGUAUGGGGUAUUUCUAUCGCACUGAUCUAUCGAGGUGUUGGAUCGCUAACGAGUUAAAAACUUUGACGAGGGUUGGGAACUCGACUCAUUUGGCGUACAUCAAAACACCCAUCCAGUAGUUGGAUAAGUCUACUAGGAAAGAGGGAAUAAGGAAGAUGAAAGAUUUGAAGAAAUAGCACUGUUUACUUGCUUUUCUAUAUUUUUACCUUCCAUUGUCUGUUUGUAUCGAAAUCAAAGAGACUAUGUGGUUGUAUAUUUUUUAAGAUGUAAAACGCUUCGGUAUGCAUAACACAUUUGCAGUAGAAUAAAUGUGUUUACAGUCUACAAGUGGACAAAAUAUUUACAGUUUAAAUAAAGUUUUUUUAAUAAUUAUAAAAAAUAAAAUUAAAAAUUGUUUCAAUAAUUACAAGAACGUAUAAACUGCAAAAUAUGAUUAUCUUGCGGAUUACCAUUUUUUUAUAAUUAUUGAAAAAAAUCUUUUAAUUUUAAUUUUGUUUACUUUAUCUUUUUUAUGUUGUAUGUAGAACUUAAAAAACAAUCAAUCUUUUCUUGUAAAUGCAAACAAUUAGUCCCCUUGUAGACUACCAACACCUUACCUAUUGAAGGCAUGUAUUUUUUCUAUAUGGUAUUUUAUUUUCUAUUAUGAAACAUGAAAUGCAAAUUUAAUUUGAAAAUCAGUAAAUCUAUAAAUAAUUUAAAAAAAAAAAAAAAAAAAACACUAAAAUUACGAUACACAAAAUUGUGUGUCGUCUUUAUUUAUGACAUGACCUUUCUUGACAGGGACUUCCUAGAUACGCAUUGCGUGUCAUAAACACGCGCUUCGUAAGGUUACGGCACGCAAAUGCGUGUCGUCUUCCUUUAUGACAGGGCCUUCCUUGAUACGCAUUGCGUAUCAUAACCGUGCGUCGUAAAUGCGCGUCGUCUAUAGAUGACGCGCAAAAGCGCGUCGUCUAUAGAUGACGCGCAAAAGCGCGUCGUCUCUCUUUAUGACAGGGCCUUCCUUAACGCGCAUUUGCGUGUCGUCUGAGCGUUUUACGAUGCGCAAUGAGCGUCGUAAAAGGCUGUUUUUUAGUGCGAUAAAGGGUCGGCCUUGGUGCCGUAGACCCUGUCGAUAUAGUGAGGAUAACCCACCUCGCGACUUUCGAAACUCUAAACUGAAGAAGCAGAUGCCCGAACCACCGUCUCACCAAAGAUCCUGAACUAUCCAAAGUAGCAAAAUACACAUUAGACCAAGCACAAUAUCCUUCCAAGGGUAAAUUGACCAAUUUACCCUUAACUCAAUUUGGUCCAUGACUAAGGUCCAUAAUGAAAAUAUGAAAGGCCCAACACUAGGUAAGCUCUCAAGCCUAUUAAUGGUCCAAAGACCAAAAGUCUGAAGCAAAGCCCAAUAUUGGCCCAAUUUACUAAAUUGGGCCCACCUCACCAAAUGGGCCUAGAUCCAAGGUCCAUAAUAAUUAGUGAGUCCAAAUUACUCCAUCCAUAAUGUCCAGUCACAGCCCAAGCCAUAUUAGCCCAAUAACAACCCAAUCUCUUAAGGCCCAAAAUGAAAACUCAACAGAGGGAGUACGUUGGGCGUUCCCUUCUUGGUAUGCUGGGUGUACAACAAUGCUCGCGGAUUGGAAUCAGGACACAGACCCACUACGUUGGGCGUACUCCCAUUUAGGCAGGGCGUAACCUCGCUGAACUACAACUCCACAUAAGAUCUUAAUGGCUUAAGCUCUUAAGCCCAAACUUCAGAUCCAUAGACAAAAUAUGCCUAGGAUUCAUAAAGUCUCAAACUUUAUUACUUGGGACGUCCAUAAACCUCUUAACCCAAGGUCUUAAUCCAUUAAGACCUACCUAUAUCACAUAUGAGACAACCAAAGCCCUUGGGACCUCAUUUUUCUUACUCAAGACCUCUCCUAAGGUCUGAAAGGACAACUAAUCUCGACCAACUCGAAUCAUGCAUCAAGUUGAGGUUUUUGGGACAAGAAUGGUGUUAAAACUUCACAACACAAAGAUCUAUACAAUAAGAUUGUCAAGCCAGAGACUUUUUACCUCAAAAGGGCUCCAGAAGAUGAUGCCUCUCCAGAUCUACGAGCUCCAGCCGCCCCACUCCUUCUUUGACAACUUAUGUUUUCUUCUUCUUGGUUUUCCUUUGCCAAAACAAGCUUUCCAAGGUCAACACACCCAACAAUGGAGGUGGAACGGCUAUCUAGGGUUUUCUGAGGGUAAGAGAGUGUUUAUGGAGGCUAGGGUUGGAACCAUAAUGUUCCUUAUAUAGUGGUUGACCCUAAAUUUAGGGUUUCUGGAUGAUAGACGUACGUUGGGCGUACAUCCAGUACGUUGGGCGUACGUCGAGAGACCUCCGCGUUCAUUUACUCCAUUACGUUGGGCGUACCUAGCCAAACACGUGCAUGAAUGCUUGGCAUGCAUGGGACCCCUUUGCUAAACUUCCCCCUUAGGGACCAUUGUUGUCAAUAUCUUCAAUUUACAACAUAUCCUCCAUCCUAAGUUCGUUCCCGACGAACUUUAUAUCCACAUAAAGGGGCGCGAGAAGACCUACGCUUCUAGUGACACACCCCGACCCGAAAACCCAUUUCGAAUAAACCCAAUACCCAUAAAAAGACCGAAACGCCCUUACUCUUGAUCUCGGGAACCCAUAAAUAGAUAUUUUAAGAACGGAGCGUUACAGAUAUUGAUUGGGAUGUUGUACAAGCAUUUAUGGUUUUUGCUAAGGUGUUUUAUGAAGUGUGAAAUCGGUUUUCGGGGUCUUUGUAUGUAACUUUUCGUGCUUACUUUCAUGAUAUGUGUUCAUUGCAUAGCCAUAUUCAUGAAUGCAUUAAAAGUGAUGGCGGGUGAGUUCAAUGGCUAUGAAUAUGAAAGCAAAGUAUGAUAAAUAUUGGGAAAAUGCAGAAAAGAUGAAUUCUAUAUUGUAUGUAGAUGUUGUUUUUGAUCCUCGAUACAAAUUAAAAUAUGUCAAUUGGAGUUUGGAAGAAAUAUAACCUAUCGGUGAUAUUGCAUGUGACUUGAAAAAAAGUUAAAAGCCACUUUGAAUCGACUUUAUGUCUUUUAUUUGGAAAAAGAUCCUAUGCAUGCCAAAAUUCUUCUUCAAACAAGAAUCAUAACAAAAGAAAAGUUAAUGAGAAUCUUAACAUACAAGAGAAACGUAUGCUAAAAUAUAAGGAACAUUUGGAAGAUGAAAAAAAUAGGAGAAUUGAGUGAGCUUGAAAGAUAUUUGUCAGACAAUCAAGAGCCAAGUUAUGAGUCAUUUGACUUGUUGGAUUGGUGGAAGACAAAUAAAGCAAAAUAUUGUAUUUUGGGAAAAAUUGCACGCGAUGUCGUGGUUGUUGCAGUUUCUAUAGUUGCUUCGGAAUCCACAUUUAGCACAUGGGGUAGAGUUUUGGAUUUAUUUAGGAGUAGUCUUUCUCCUAAAAGAGUGCAAGCGCUUGUAUGCACACAAAAUUGGAUUUGGGGUGUGUUUAACAAAACUGCAAAAGUUUGUUAUGAAGAUGUGUUGCAAGAAAUUGAAGACCUUGAAGAAAUUCAAAAUAGUAAGAUUUCAGAUGUUAAAAAGUUUUAUAUCUCUUUGUUAUUAUUUUUUACAAAAUAUAACCUGUAUUUCAGGUUUUGCAAGCGAACUUAGUAUUUGCGCCGACAAUAUCGAUUGAAAGAUACUUUUCUUCUCAUGGUCUUAUAUUGAACUUUUGGUGUGAUGUUUUAAUAUUGAGUUUUUUGAACAAUAAACACAUAUGAAUUGGAUGACAUUUUGGAAGUGGAUAACAUUUUGGAAGUGAGCUUGCGGAUAAUGGAAAAAUAUUUGUGGUUUGUGUGUAUCGGUCUGAUGUUUGAUGUAAUGGAACAAUAUUUGUUAUUUUUAUUUACUGUUUUGGAUGGUUUUUAGGUUGCAUGAAUAGAUACAAAUGCUUGACGUAAUAGAAAGAUUUUAAAAAGUUUUAACAACUUUAAUAUGUUGUUUUUUUAACAAUUUUUUGCAGUUUUCUGGCAAUUUUGAUAGCUUUAAUGUUGUUUUUUUGGCAGAUUUUUUGACAGUUGUAACAAUAUAGCAGUUUUUUUUAACAAUUUAAUGUACUCGACAAAAAAUGAGCCUAAAAAGCCCAAACCGUGAAACUAAACCAGAACCAAACCGUUAGUAACAAUUUGAUUUUGUUUGGUUUUAAUUUUUAAACGGUUCCGCUGCGGUUUUUGAUCGAAAAAAAAAACUGUGAAGACCUCUAAGUAGAGGUUCGUUUUGUAUCAAUAUUAAUAAUAAUUUUUUAGUAGCUUCUUAUUAUCAUUAUAAAAUUAAUAGAAAAAUAAAAAGAAAUAAACACAAGUCAUGAUUACAAUAAUUUAAAAUAUAAUAUUGUUAUUUUAAAAAUAUAUUUUAAUUGCAUUUGUUUAUUUGAUAAUGAUAUCCAUCCCUUUAAUAAUGUAUACAACCGGGAUACCAGUAACUUAUGCACUUUCAAUAAAUUAACAUGCUUUCGGAAAAAAAAAUUGUAAAUUUGUAUUUGUAUGUAUAUAUACAUGCAUAUUUCCAACAAAGCAACACCGCUAACCAUGGCUUUUUCUGCACUCUCCCUUAUCCUUUUCUGCUUCAUCUUCAUAUCAUUCGCCAUCUCCGACGCCGUUGUUCCCCCCGCCGACACUUUUCGGUAUAUCAACCAAGGCGAUUUUGGAGAACUCGAUUCCGAAUAUGCCCCAACCUAUCGUCCUCUUCCUCCAUACACCUUCCCUUUCCAGCUGUGUUUCUACAACACCACCCCCGGCGUCUACACUCUCAGUCUCCGCAUGGGAACCAGACGUGAUGAAGCGGUCAUGCCAUGGGUGUGGGAUGCCAACAGAGGCAACCCAGUUGGCGAAAACGCCACCUUCUCAUUAGCCUCCGACGGAAACCUUGUACUCGCCGACGGAGAUGGACGGAUCGCAUGGCAAACCAACACCGCCAACAAGGGUGUCGUCGGUUUUGCCAUACUCUCCACCGGUAACAUCGUGCUUCGUGACUCCAAGGGUGGUUUCGUCUGGCAAAGCUUUGAUUCACCAACUGAUACUCUCUUGUUUGGUCAAUCUCUCCGGAUCCGAGGUCCGACGAAACUCGUCAGCAGAGCUUCAACGACGAACAACGUUAACGGAGCGUAUAGUUUCGUGAUAGAGCCAAAAAGAUUGGGUUUGUAUUAUAAGAACAUGCUUUACUGGGCUUCCACGUUUCCGGCGUAUCCGGAAUUGAACCAACCAAAUGUGACUAUUGUUAAUGCAACAUUCGACAUCGUGGAAACCGAAUACAAUAACGACUUUAACGCAAUUAGGUGUCAUCUUUCAAACUCUAAUGCUCAACCUUAUCUGGACAUGGACAUACUCCGAUUCAAUAACACGUUAUCCUAUAUCCGAUUAGGCAUCGAUGGGAACUUACGACUCUACUCUUAUCGUCCUCCGAAUAUCCGUUUUAGCCAAUGGAGUCUGGUGUUUAGAUUGUUCGAUAACAGGGAGACCACGAGGCAGGGUUUAUAUGAAGACGAGUGCCAACUGCCUGAACGCUGCGGCAAGUUUGGGCUGUGUGAGGACAGCCAGUGUGUUGGGUGUCCAUCGCCGGAGGGUGUUUUUGCGUGGAGCAAAAACUGCAACGUGAAGACGCCGUCUUGUAAAGCUGGUGGUUCUCGUUACUACCAGCUCAAAGGGGUCGACCAUUUCACCUCUAAAUACUCUGCGGGGACUGGGCCGAUGAAGCAGAAAGAUUGCGAGAGUAAAUGCACAAAGGACUGUAAGUGUAUGGGGUAUUUCUAUCGCACUGAUCUAUCGAGGUGUUGGAUCGCUAACGAGUUAAAAACUUUGACGAGGGUUGGGAACUCGACUCAUUUGGCGUACAUCAAAACACCCAUCCAGUAGUUGGAUAAGUCUACUAGGAAGAGGGAAUAAGGAAGAUGAAAGAUUUGAAGAAAUAGCACUGUUUACCUGCUUUUCUUAUUUUUACCUUCCAUUGUGUGUUUGUAUCGAAAUCAAAGAGUCUAUGUGGUAUACUUUUUAAGAUGUAAAACGCUUUGGUAUGCGUAACACAUUUGCAGAAGAGUAAUGUGUUUCCAGUCUACAAGAAAAAAGAUCGAUUAUUUAUUAAAUUCUACAACGACAUAAAAAAGGGUAGCUGCUAUUUGUAUACACCUCUAGGGAAUGAAAGACGAGAUCACAUCAAUCAUCGUGGUCUUUCUAUAAAUUUUAUAAGGUAGGCUAAAUUUUUUUUCUUAUUUUACCAUUUAGACGCCCUUAAUUAAUUUUAAAUUUUUUUUUUAUUGUCGCCAGAACAAAUGCUAUCAGAAAAGUUAAAAACCCUGUCGCAUGGUAUAGAUACAUGUGGGAUAUUAUUGGAAAAUAGAGAACAUAAUUUUUGGAGUUUCGGUUUUUUGGGCUAAAUUUAGGGUAGAGUGUUAUAGAUGAUUCCUGAUUGGUUAAUAAGGCUGGGGGAAUUGGAGUCACCGAAAAUGCAUUCCUUCUCCCAUCACAUAAGCGUCAUGUCAUUUUUUACCACUCAAAUGUGGUUUCUUGCCACAUCAAGUGUGUAGUGCCACACUUUUCAUUUCUUUUAUUUUUUUGUUUUUUUUAAGUAUUUUAAUUUAAUAAAACUUCCUUUUUUUAACUAUUUUAAUUUAAUAUAACUUAUAUUUUAAUAACAAAAACAUAAUUUUUCAUUACUUAAAAAUUAAAAAAAAAAAACACUAUAUUACGUUACUAAAAAAAACCCAUACAUAUGACAUUUAAAUAAUCUUAGAAACUUAAAAAACAUAAAUAAAAUAACUAAAGCAAACUACAUAAAGUCAUUCUCCGAGAACUCGUCUUCGGGGUCAUCCGGUGAAUCCAAAUUAAGGUUAAUGUUUUGAACCCUAUAAAUGUUUUCCAAGUCAUUGCGAAGAUUGUAAAAUGUUUCAGUGCAAUGUAUCUUUGCUCUCCUGUUUAUAUACUCUUCGCCACCAAUUUCUAUUGGCUAUGUCUCUGGUAUGGUUUCUUCUUCGUCAAACUCACAUAUCGCUUUUCCUUCGUCUUCAUUAAUCAUGUUAUGCAAUAUAAUACAUGUAUAUAUGAUUUCUUGAAGUUUUUCCUUGCCCAAAUAAGUUGUUGGUUUUUUCAAUAUGAACCACCGUUUCUUCAGAGCUCCAAAGGCACGCUCAACAUCUUUCUUAGCUCUUUCUUGAGCUCUCUUAAAUUUCUUUUGUCAAGAACCAUGUGGAGCUGAAAACGGUUUAACAAACACAGCGUACUUAGGAUAGAUUCCAUCGACCAGAUAAUAACCAUACUUAUAUGGCGUUCCACGCACUUGAAAAGAAGAAUCUGGUGCGAAUCUAUCGUAUAUGUUGUUAAAUAUUAAUGAACGGUUAAGAACGUUGAUGUCGUUAAUCGAACCAAGAGAACCAAAAAAAGCAUGCCAAAUCCACAUAUCUUGUGAUACAACUGCUUCAAGUAUGACCGUUGGGUGACCAUGAUCACCUCGGGUAAAUUGCCCAUAAUAUGUUGUAGGGCAAUUUUCCCAUGCCCAAUGGAGACAAUCUAAGCUUCCUAGCAUUUCAAGAAACCCAUGCACACUAGCAUGAUGAGCUUGCAAUUGCAGGAUGUCAUUACGUGUAGGCUUACGUAAAUAUUUUGGACCAGAAAACUGAAUCAUAGUUUUGCAGAAAAAAUGGAGACUGUCUCGUGCUAUCCUAGCAGACAUCCUAAAACUUUCGUCUAGCGCAUCAGGCGGAAUUCCAUAUGCUAACUGACGAAGUGUGCCCGUGCAUUUUUGUAAGAGAGUGAAACCGAGUGUACCUCUAGUAUCGUAGCGUUGUUGGAAAAAACUACACUCCCUCGUUACAUCGUCAACUAUACGUUCGAAUAAACCUUUGAGCAUUCUGAAGCGCCUACGAAAUACCUUGGUAAGUGGCAUUCUCUGCAAAAUAUUCUUGCACCAGACGUUGGUUGACUUCUUCACGAUUUCUGUAAAUAUAUCUUCGUGUUCUCUGUUGAGAACUUACAGCUGCGUUGUUACAUACAACGUUGUAUGUUUGUUCCGCCAUUUAAACACACGCAAUAGCGAUAUCAAAAAUAGUCUGAAAUUCUUCAGAAGAUGAAGAAGAUGACAUUUUUGAGAGAGUGGUGAUUUAAAUUUUUUUUUUUUUUUUUGAGAGAGAAAGGAGAUUGUGUUGUAAAAAAAAAGAUUAAGUUGAUAUGUAUAUAUAUAGAAAAGAAAAAGCAAAAGAAAAAAAAUUAAAUGCUCAACGUCAAUCCUUCCCAACUUCCCUCAACCAAUCAGAACACACGGUCUUAGAGAACCGCACUAUGGCCAAGAUUGUACUAGACCGCGGUCUGAAAACGGUGUUUCAAUACUACGUGGCAUAAAGUGCGGUCUGGAACGGUACCCGCACCGUGAAGCCUAAGUAAAGCAAACGGAUUUUGACGGACACACGAACCCGCGAUACUAGUAACUAUUACCUUUUCAUUAAAUUAACAUUCUUUCAUAAAGAGAAUAUAAAAGUCUAUAUAUAUGCAUAUAUAUCCGACAAGGCAACACAGUAACCAUGGUUUCUUCUCUCUCCCUUAUCCUUUGCUGCUUCAUCUUCAUAUCGUUAUCCAUCUCCAACGCCGUUGUUCCUCCCGCCGAUACUUUUCGGUAUGUCAAUCAAGGCGAUUUUGGAGAAUUCGAUUCCGAAUACGCCCCAAACUAUCGUCCUCUUCCUCCAUUCACCUACCCUUUCCAGCUCUGUUUCUACAACACCACCCCCGGUGUCUACACUCUCAGUCUCCGCAUGGGAACCAGACGUGAUCAAGCAGUCAUGCCAUGGGUGUGGGAUGCCAACAGAGGCAACCCAGUUGGCGAAAACGCCACCUUCUCAUUAGCCUCCGACGGAAACCUUGUACUCGCCGACGGAGAUGGACGGAUCGCAUGGCAAACCAACACCGCCAACAAGGGUGUCGUCGGUUUUGCCAUACUCUCCGAUGGUAACAUCGUGCUUCGUGACUCCAAGGGUGGUUUCGUCUGGCAAAGCUUUGAUUCACCGACUGAUACACUCUUGUUUGGUCAAUCUCUCCGGGUCGGAGGUCCGACGAAGCUCGUCAGCAGAGCUUCAGCGACGAACAACGUUAACGGAGCGUAUAGUUUCGUGAUAGAGCCAAAAAGAUUGGGUUUGUAUUAUAAGAACAUGCUUUACUGGGCUUCCACGUUUCCCGAAGUGAACGACCGAAAUGUGAAUAUUGUCAAUGCAACAUUGGAAAUCCAGAGAACCGAAUACGAAGAAAACUACUUUAAUGCGCUAAAGUGUCGUCUUUCAAACUCUGAAGCUCAACCUAAUUUGGACUUCGACAUACUCCGAUACAAUAGCACGUUAUCAUAUCUCCGAUUAGGCAUCGAUGGGAACUUAAGACUCUACUCUUAUCGUCAGAAUGUCCGUUUCAGCUCAUGGAGUCUGAUGUUCACUUUGUUCACUAGAAGGGUGAGCGAGAGGGGAGAGAUAGUUGAAGACGAGUGCCAACAGCCUGAUCGCUGCGGCAAGUUUGGGCUGUGUGAGGACAGCCAGUGCGUUGGGUGUCCGUCGCCGGAGGGUGUUUUUGCGUGGAGCAAAACUUGCAACGUGAAGACGCCAUCUUGUAAAGCGGGUGGUUCUCGUUACUACCAGCUCAAAGGGGUCGACCAUUUCACUUCUAAAUACUCUCCGGGGAGUGGGCCGAUGAAACAGAAAGAUUGCGAGAGUAAAUGCACAAAGGACUGUAAGUGUAUGGGGUAUUUCUAUCGCACUGAUCUAUCGAGGUGUUGGAUCGCUUACGAAUUGAAAACUUUGACGAGGGUUGGGAACUCGACUCAUUUGGCUUAUAUCAAAACACCUAUUCAGUAGCUCUGUGGUGCACGAGAAACCGGGAACAAGGAAGGUGCACUGUAUAGUUGCUUUUAGUAAAUUCUGACCUUCCAUUGUGUCUUUGUAUCGAAAUCAAAUAAUAUUCUUGUUUUGAUUUAUAAAAAAUUAGGUUAUAUGAGAUAACCGUUAUAUAUAAAUAAUAUUUAAAAUGAUUAAAAAAAUAUUUUUAUUAAAUUCAUCAUUUACAACCAACUUAUAAAAUAUAGCAGAUGUGCAAGAAAAAGAAAAAAACUUUUUUGAAAUAGUAUGUAAGAUGGUGCCGUAAAUAAUGCGAAUUAAUUUAAUAGAAGGAUUUGACUUAUAAUGGUAAGUUUAUCAUAAGAUUUAUGCUUAAAAUUUGAUUUUUUUUUUUUUAAAUCUAGAUGCAACCUUGGGAGGUUGUAAUUAAUUUACGACGGAAUAACAAAUCUAUUUAUAUAAACAAAAUGUAUUUUUAUAAACAAAACAUAAGUUUAUUAUUAUUAAUUUUAUCUUUUUUUAUCCACAUUGUGUCAAUAAAAAUAGUGUAUAAAAAACGUAUAAUUGGGUUUAAAAAAUUUCUUCUGUUUAUUGUAUUCGCCGAAUAAAAUAAACAACAUUAUGGAACCAAAAGUCAAUAUUGAAUUGCUCGUUAAUUUGUAGGUGGAGUCGGUUCAAGGAAAUAACAUCCUACUUUCAAUAUUACAACUAAAAAACAAAUAUCGAUUUGAGUAUUUACAUUUAUAUUCUUGAAAGACACCCUUUAUGUCAUGUUUAUAUAUUCUAUUUUCUUUUAAAAUUGUUAAACUAACAAUAUACGUUUUUUUUUAUUAUCACAAAUAUGUUGAACACCAAAAAUUUGUCAUUUUAACCAACCAAUAAGAGGGAUGUACACUAACUUGGAAUAUUUCAUUUGAAAUGACUUAUUGAUAGAUAUAGCAGAGAAUGUUUUAAAUGUUAACCGAACUAUAAGGCCGGACGGAGUGGGAUGAGGGGAAGGAGCGGGAACCGAUCCCGCACUUGUGCACACCGCACCGUGGGUGCGGGAAAGGAACCGUGGGAAGACAGUGGGGGGAGAGAGUCCCGCUCUCUCUCUCUCUUCUAACCAUUGGCCGACGAUUUUUUUUUCUUUUUUACUCAAACGGCUAUAUAGCCGUUACAUAUGUAUAUAUUUAUUUAUUUUUUUUCUUUUUUCCUUCUUUUUUCUUAAUCUAUAAAUACUCAAACAUUUUAUCAUUUUUUUAAACCAUAAUCUAUAUUUCUCUAUAUUUCUCUCUAAAAAAUAUUACUCAAAAUGUCAUCAUCUUCAUCAUCCGAUUUGACGGCAGUAGAGAAAGCUAAGUUUAUCGGUUCCUUCAUGGUGAAAACGGUUGCAUACUAUCAAAACCAACUUGGUGAAACAUCACGUGCACGACCUAACAUAAGAAAGCCGCCAUUACGUAGAAAUCACGAAGCCGGACACGAUCGUUUUAUAGAAGAUUAUUUUGUAGAUGACGCCGUCUACGCUGUAAAGUUUCGACGUCGGUUCCAGGUGAGGAAUGAACUAUUUUUACGUAUUGUUGGCGAUGUGGAAGGCCGCUUUCCAUAUUUCCAAUGGAAAAUGGAUACAAGGGGAAAAAAAGGUUUCUAUCCCAUUCAAAAAUGCAUGGCUUAAAUUCGUCAGCUAGCAUACCACAUGGGCGCAGACAAAUGGGACGAUUAUUUUAAGAUGUCAGAGCGUACCGUGAGGGACUCUGUGUACAAGUUCUGCAAAGUGAUAUGUUUGGUUUACGGGCAACGAUAUUUGCGCAAACCAACUAUCAACGAUAUCCACCAAUUGUAUACGGUGCAUGAAGGCAAACAUGGAUUCCCUGGAAUGCUAGGUAGUAUCGAUUACAUGCAUUGGAGUUGGUCAUUAUGCCCCAACGCAUGGCGUGAUCAGUACAUGAGAGGCGAACAUAAAGAGUCGGCGAUCAUUCUAGAGGCUAUCGCAUGACAUGAUCUUUGGAUAUGGCAUGCAUUCUUUGGUCCAACUGGUGCAAACAUUCUUUUUGAGAUAAAGGAAUGAGUGUUUUGGAUGAUUAUGACCUUUCCAGCCAUGCAAAGGCUGAAAGUUGUGAACUUUAUGGAGUAAGAGCCUUUGGGGAGUCCAUAUCUGAGAUAUGAGCUAAGGUCGUAACAGGUUAAGACCAAGUGAGUGAAUUAAGCAAAGCUGGGCAUACGCCCAACAUAAUUCCAAUACGCCCCCGUGUAUUGGGUUGGUGUACCCGAUCAUAUCUGGUGCAUGCUCGUGUACGCUGAGCGUACAAAGGGAGGUACGCCCCGCGUAACUUGCCUGCGGGCUUUUGGGUUAAAUUUCAUAUGGGCCAUAAAGGGUUGGUCCUGAAUCCUUGGAUUGGUGCAGAAGAGACUUUGAGCAUAGAAAUAUUUUUAUGCCUUAGGCCCUUGAGUAGGGCUUGUCCCUUGGACUUGAGAGUUGGGCCUCGGGAGAACCCAUUUAUUAUUGGGCCUUGGUGGGCCCAAUGGGUUUAGAUCAUUGUUGGGUUGGUUAGUGGACUACUUUUAGACCUAAUGAGUGAGAGUUUGGACUUAGUUCCUAAUUGGGAUAAUUUUGGGUUUUGGCACAGAGUUAGUGGCCGGUGCGUAGCAGCAACGUUUAGGGGUUGUUCAUCAUCCGAGGUGAGUCUUCUCACUAUACUUUACCUAGAGUGGUACUUAUGUGUGAGCAGAGGGUCUUAUGUGCUUAAAUUGAGAAUUAUGUUAUCCUGCCUUAUGUGUUAGAUGUGCAUUAUGUCUUUGUGAUUUAUGCUAUGUGGAGCUUUACAGACCGGACCAGAGGGUCCAACGAGUUGUGAGACCAGGAGGUCCUCAUUUAGACCGGACCGGAGGAUCCAACGAGCUGUGGGAAUGGAGGGUCCCACUGAUACACAUUGACCGGAGGGUCUAUAGAGAUAUAGCCUUGAGUGGCUAAUUAUUUGUGCGUGGUAUUUUGGGAAACUUGCUAAGCUUUGUGCUUACCGUGUUAUGUGAUAUGUGUUUCAGGUUUCCUCAGGAUCGCGGGAAGGCACCGGCUGGAUUGUACACACCAAAGAAGGAGUUAUGUUUUGAGGAUCCUGGAUUAUUAAUCAAAUAAUGACAUAUUUGUAUUUUAUAAAUUAAAUAAAAGAGAUUUUUAUGAUUUGUGUUAUGAGAAUUACGAGAUAUUAAAUGAAAAUUUGAUUUGAAAAUAUACGGUGUUAAAAGUUGCUAUCAGAGUCUUGGUUUGAGGGAUUUGGAUGCACCUUCAGGUAUAUCUGGACUCAAACUGAGGAUUUGAGAAAAAAUUUCAAAAGAAAUGAUUUUGUCUAAAACGAGCAAGAGUUUCUAAGAGAAAAACGAGAAAGAGCAGUGUAUACAAUCAGCCAGAGCCCGAACGGUGAUUUCCCUAAAUACCCUUACUUAUUUGUGUUAUGAGUUAUUAUUGAGGUAUUAUUUAUGCAUGUUAGAAGAUAGGCUAGGUAUUUCAUAUUUUAGGGCUAGAGUUGCCUGAAUUGUGAUGCCUUAGCCUAGGAAUUUUGCUAUCUGUGAUGUGUUUUGGGUAUGUGCGGAGUAAGAGUAUCCAGCAGGAAUAUUUCAGAGAUAGAGCUUCGAGUAGAGGAGUAAUCUAGGAGAGAUUUCUGGAUGAGCAUUGGAGGAGCCUAACGAGAGAGUAGUUAGAUGCCUGCAUGGGGUAGAGUUUCUUGAGUUCGGUGAAACCUGUUGAGUGUGAGUAGAGCCAAUGGAAUUGUAACCUAGAGUGGUUGUAUGUGUUGGUAGAGAAUAUUUGAUGCUCAAAUGCUGCUUUCUUCUUGCUUUGUGGAACUCAGGAUGAUGGGAGUCAGCUACUAAGUGAAUAUGACGAUAUUCAGGAGGCAGAUAGCUGACAUUAUUAGGGGUUCUUCAGCAGUUGAUGGUAGAGAAGUGAGAGUGCCCAAGAAGAGCCUAGUGAGUGACCUUAGUCAUAUGAGUAUGCUGAUAGAGGAGAUUAUUUGUUGGGGAGCAACCAAGUAUAUCAGAUUGGUGAUCGGGAAGGUUGAGCAGCUAGUUAGGAAAUCAGGGAUGGUCCGUGUGGAAAGUAUGGGUAGAUGUGGUAGGUAGUAUGGGCCGUACUACUAAAAGUAUAGGACCCAUACUCGAUACAGGGAGAAUUCCAGAGGUUCUAAGCAGCAGAUUGAGAGGAGAUCACAGGGUUCGAGUACCAUGAUUCAUAGCAGAUUGGGUGGGGGGUGAUCACAUGGUUCGAGUACCAUAAUUCGUGGCGGUUAGUGCUUCUGGUUUUACCAGUUGGCCAUGGUGGUUGAGUAGUUUAAGAUCAGGUGAUAGAGUGUGGGGACAGAGGGCCAGGUUGAGCAAGUCUUAAUGGAGAAUACCUUGAGAGAGAAAUUGAGUUCCUUUCCGAGAGAUUUUAUUGGUGAGAUGCCAGUUGGAACCGUAAUUCUCAGGGAUGAGUAGAGAUGAUGUUUUUGGAGGAACAUGGUUUGAAUCGAGCCAUCGGCUAAUGGAUGAGACGUCACUUUCUAUGGCAAGAGUUGCAUUGUUUCCGUUUCCUAGGAGAAGUGAAGGAGAUAUCAAGUUUUCGUUUUCAGAGUUUGGAGGUAGACCCCGUGGGGUACCAUUGGUGGCGACCAUUUCAUCAGAAUAUUUGAGCAGUUUGUCUGCUGCGAGGUAUUUCUUGUACCAUGGAAUCAGUAGUGGAUGACGAGAUGGAAGAGACUCAGGAAGGUGAUAUCUGAGUAUGGCAUGCAUUUAGAAGCAGUUUCAGGUAGUUAAGAGAAAUAUAUCGGGGGCGGUGACCCUCGUUGUUAUAUUGAGUAUCGGUUGUGAGGGUGAGGUCUCGGGCAUUAAUGUUGAUUUCCGUGUUAGGAGACUGGUCGAGAAGUCAAAGACAAGGGGUGUGAUAGAGCAUUAUUUCCGUACCGAGGGUCAGAGAUAUUUCGGAACACUUGGGUAUCCGGCGGUGUGUUAGUCAGAGGUUCGAGAUGACUAGAGGCAGUCACGAUUGGGAGAUUUUGAGAUCCUUGUUUGAGUUACGGGAUUUGAAGUUGCUGGGUUUCCAUCAGAAAGAUCAUUAAGCAUUUGCAUGGUACGUUCCAAGAGUCGAGAGUGAUGUGCCUGGUGAUUGUUCAAACCCUGAGUGGGGGAGAACUAGGUAUUCAAUAAAGCAGAUCAACAACUCAUUAUGGUACUAUUGGUUAUGGAAAUAUAUGGUGCGGACACAUGCAACCUAGGAUGAUGUAUGAGUAUGUACUUAAGGAAGGAUGAUUGAAUCCACGGCAGGGGUCAUUGGUCAGAGAACUUAUUAUGGCUAGAGGUUUUUCGGGUUGCAAAUGAUGAGUUCGAGGCGGAUGAGUCGUUGAGUUCAGGAAAAAAAGCUGAGAUUUGCGGGUAUGGGUAUAGAUUGUGGUCUAUACUCUGGAAGAAGGCAAGAGUGAUUGUUAACCAAUUUGAGAGUCGGUUGGAGUAGUUUCAUAUGAGUAGUGAUCAGUAGAGGGACGAGCUUGGAUUUCGUCAACGUGUUCUGAGCCAUUGUCGACAUCUCUGUGUUUCAAAUUCAGAAAUGGAAUAUUCUGAGGUGAUAAGAAGUUCGAGAAGAAGAUCGAUUGCAAGAUUUUGAAAGAGAAACGCGAUAUUUGAGUAUGAUGCCGAGAUUAUGGGGUCGGUGGUUAAGGCAAAACAUUAUGAGGUUCUUUGAUGGUGUACCGAGGCAACCGAGUAUGAUGUACUAACUUUCAAGUCAUAUUAGGACUCGAGUCGUGAGAAGGCGGGUGGAGUACCUUGUGAUUUUAUUCCAAUACGGAAACCAUCAGUUAAUUGUCGUUGGAGUGAGACUGUAUAAGGGUGUAUCUGUGUUGAGCCUAGUACCUUGCCUGUGAGAACUUGUAUCGAAAGUGGUGAUACAUAAGUUGGGUGAGUGUAAGCACUUAUCUAUAUGGAAUUGCAGAGCAUGAUUGGUGAACUAAGUGUGGUGAUAACUUGCAAACGAGAUCAUGAGGGAUAAGAGAGCAAGUGAUCUGAGUGGGGAGUAUUCACUUGGGAUUAUCAGGAGAAACCGUGGACUGAGCCCUUGGUGAGUCAGUGAGCGAGAUAACGUUAUAGCACUACGGGGAGCCGUAGUAUCCAUGAGUCAGUGAAAGAGAGUGUCGUGUUACUACGAGGACCCGUAGUAUUCACGGGAUAGUGGGAGAGGGCUGUAAUACUACGGGGAGUUGUGGUAUUCAUUAGUCAGCGAGAGAGUGUCGUGAUACUAUGGGGAGCCAUAGUAUUUAUUGUUUAGAGAAAGAGUGUUGUGAUGCCACGGGGAGUCGUAGCAUUCGCGAGUCAGUGAGAGAGUGUUGCAAGCCUACGAGGGAGACUGUAGCGCUCAGUGGUCGAUGAGGGUGAAUACUUAUCAAUGGAGAGUUGUAGUAUUCACUACCCAGAGUAUGGCGCAGGGGAGUUCUUAGGCUUGGGUAGCCUUGCUACCUGAGUCUUCGGGAGCUUGGUUGCCAAACCAGGAGCGAGACAGGGGUCUCCAUUUCAGUUGGAAAUCAUUGUAUCCCUGGGUCGAGGAGGAUUAGCAUAGUUGGAAGGAAUCAGAGAGAUGGUGUGGGGGUAAUCUGCGAAUUAUGGGUCAUGAGUGAGUACUGGAUUUGAAAUGAGAGGUUCCAAUUUUGCUUUUGAAUCAGACUCUCGAGCUUGAGUCUGUAUCCAUUUGUGUUUUGAAUAAGUGAGGUGAGGUUUCGAAUCAGUUUCGUUGGUAUGAGAAGUACCGCGAGAUGCAAGGAACCAGUGAGUGGUAGACGACAACGGUUGGAGGUGAAGCGAACCCAGAUGAGUUGUAGCAUUCGCUUGGGGUGAAGCAAACCUCAUGAUUUGUGCAUCGCUAUGAGCCGGAUUGGUUAUUGAGAGUUGAAAAACCGGUAGGUCAUUUUUGGGGCAUGUAGUGAAUAACCUUGGAGGUUCCACUUGUUGGGUCAGAGACGACCUUAUUGCUCAGUGUUAGAUUGGACAAUCGGGAGAAACUGGGGCUUAUGUUUAAGAGUUGUGAGGAUCAGUCCUUAGUGGGUUAUAACCUUCCCAUUCUUUUGAGUUUGCCCGGGAUAGGUUAGAGAAUAAGAGUUAGUAGAGUGUUCUUCGAGCCUGUUAAUCGAUGAGUGAUUAGCAUGAUAUUUUUGGGAAGAUGGUAUGGCUGGGAGACAUACCACUAGAGUUUUCAGGUUCUAGAGAGUCAGGUCAAGAGUCAUAGCGACAGAUGGGUCCGUCCUUCUUCGAUUCGGGAAUGCUUGUUGGGAUCAGGUGACUUUGGAAUAAAUUGUUAUACGAAAUGAGGUCCUUUUUGGUGAUGUUUCUCAGGUUAUUAGUUUUGAUCUAUGUAUUGAUAAGUUGCGAUUUCGAGGGCCAAAUCUAAUUCAAGUGGGGGAGAAUUGUAACAUCCUGUUUCGGAUCAUCUGAGAUUAGGGUUUGUGGGCUGCAACACGGGAUUGAGGAAGUCUCGGGGUUGCGACGAGUUGUUAGAAGUGUGGGGUGUCUGAAAACCUUUCAGUGAGUAUGAGAUUCUUUGGAAUCGAAGUAAUAUCGAAGAAGAUAUGGAAGUUUGAAGAAUUGACAAGAUAAGUCCCUAAGUUGAGAAAUGUGGCAGCGGGGUAUGUUGGGCGUACGAAUGUGUACGCUUAGCGUACUCAUGCGCGUGACUUUUAAGAGGAGCCACCUAGUACACUGGGCGUACUAAGUACAGAAGGAAAAACACUAAUUGAGGAAUGUCCCUAUAUAAGGAAUGAGAUGGCCUCAUUCCUGGCCACCCUUCUCAGAUAAUAAACCCUCUAAAACCCUAAUCCAUCGUUUAUGGACCGUGUGAGAGCAUUUUCGAGCCUUGAGUGAUCUUGGUGUGUUCUUGGAGUAAAGAAGGAGCUUUGGAGAAGAAGGAGUGAGAAGUCCAGGCCUUGGAUCUGAGCAUAUCUGAGUUGGAAGCUUCAUAUAGAGGUAUAAAGCUUCAAUAUUUCUCACUCUUUUGUUUUGAGCAUCAUAUUAGUGUAUUUUAGGGUUUUGUCGCUAAAGGUGGAGACUUUAUGAGAUAGUGAACUCCAGAGGCUAUGAUAAACCCUUUUGAGUGUGAUUAAUAGUGUAUGGUCAUAAAAAUCCAAUCUUGGUCGUUGGAAUCAAGCCAUGCAUGAGUUAUGAGCUUUUUGAGAUAAACGAGUGAGUGCUUUGGAUGAUUGUGACCUUUCCAGCCAUGCAAAGGCUGAAAGUCGUGAACUUUAUGGAGUAAGAGACUUUAGGGAGUCCAUAUAUGAGAUAUGAGCUAAGGUCGUGAUGGGUUAAGACUAGGUGAGUGAAUUAAGCAAAGCUGGGCAUACGCCCAACAUAAUUCCAGUACGCAGGGGCGUACUGGGUUGGUGUGCCCGAUCAUAUCUGGUGCAUGCUCGUGUACGCUGAGCGUACAAAGGGAGGUACGCCCCGCGUAACUUGCCUGCGGGCUUUUGGGUUAAAUUUCAUUUGGGCCUUAAAAGGUUGGGCCUGAAUCCUUGGAUUGGUGCAUAAGAGACUUUGAGCAUAGAAAUAUUUUUAUGCCUUGGGCCCUUGAGUAGGGCUUGUCCCUUGGACUUAAGAGUUGGGCCUCGGGAGAACCCAUUUAUUAUUGGGCCUUGGUGGGCCCAAUGGGUUUAGAUCAUUGUUGGGUUGGUUAGUGGACUACUUUUAGACAUAAUGAGUGAGAGUUUGGACUUAGUUCCUAAUUGGGAUAAUUUUGGGUGUUUGCAUAGAGUUAGUGGCCGGUGCGUAGCAGCAACAUUUAGGGGUUGUUCAUCAUCUGAGGUGAGUCUUCUCACUAUACUUUACCUAGAGUGGUACUUAUGUGUGAUCGGAGGGUCUUAUGUGCUUACAUUGAGAAUUAUGUUAUCCUGCAUUAUGUGUUAUGAUGUGCAUUAUGUCUUUGUAAUUUAUGGUAUGUAGAGUUUUACAUAUCAGAAAAGAGGGUCAAACGAGUUGUGAGAACGGGAGGUCCUCACUUAGACUGGAUCGAAGGGUCCAACGAGCUGUGGGAAUGGAGGGUCCCACUAAGACACAUUGACCGGAGGGUCUAUAGAGCUAUAGCCUCGAGUGGCUAAUUAUUUGUGCGUGAUAUUUUGGGGAACUCGCUAAGCUUUGUGCUUACCGUGCUAUGUGAUAUGUGUUUCAGGUUUCCUCAGGAUCGUGGGAAGGUACCGACUGGAUUGCACACACAAGAGAGGGAGUUAUGUUUUGAGGAUCCUGGAUUAGUAAUCAAAUAAUGACAGAGAUGUGUUUUAUAAAUUAAAUAAAAGAGAUUUUUGUGAUAUGUGUUAUGAGAAUUACGACAUAUUAAAUGAAAAUUUUAUUUGAAAAUCUAUGGUGUUACAUCAGCCUCUGUACUCGGCUUCUGAGUUUUACUCAGUUUGGCAUUGCUCUGGAUCGGCAAGUCACCUUUCUUGGAAUUGUGCAUGUUGAACCUCUUCAACACCUUGUCCUAGUAGGUACUUUUACUAAGUUCAAUUAGUCUCUUUCUCCUGUCUCUUAAUAUGCUAAUCCCAAGAAUAUAGGUAGCCUCUCCGAGGUCCUUCAUAGCGAAACACUUCCUGAGCCAGGACUUCACCUCCUGCAGGGUCGGGAUGUCAUUUCCUAUGAGAAGUAUGUCAUCCACAUACAACACCAGAAAGCUAACUAGACUCCCACUAGCUUUGACAUAUACACAGGACUCAUCCUCGCUUCUCGAAAAUCCAAACUCUUUGACUGUCUCAUCAAAACAAAGAUUCCAUCUGCGAGAUGCUUGUUUCAAUCCAUAAAUGGAUUUCUCAAGCUUACACACUCUAUUAUGGUACUCAUCAUCGACAAAACCCUCUGGCUAACUCAUGUAAAAAUCCUCAGCCAACUUCCCAUUAAGGAAAGCGGUUUUGACAUCCAUUUUCCAUAUUUCAUAGUCAUGAAAUGCAACAAUGGCUAGCAGAACCCUAAUAGACUUAAUCAUUGCUACUGGAGAGAAGGUCUCAUCAUAGUCAACUCCCAGAGUUUGAGUAAAGCCCUUCGCAACCAAUCUCGCAUUGUAUGUGUGUACUUUCCCAUCCAUGUCGGUCUUCUUCUUGAAUAUCCAUUUGCACCCGACUGUCUUACGACCCGAUACAUUGUCAACCAAGUUCCAAACUUGAUUGUUAUACAUGGACUGAAUCUUCCUGUCCAUUGCCUCUUUGCAAUUAGCAAACUCGGGGCCUGCCAUGGCUUCCUUGUAGUUCUUGGGUUCAUCAAAAUUUACCAGUGUGCUAUCACUGAUAAAUGUAUCACCUUCUGUAGUAAUAUGGAAACCAUAAAACUCAAGUGGAACUCUAACUCUACUAGAAUGCCUCAGAGGUACAAACUCGUCAAUCGGCUCAACAGUAGCUUCCUCCUUAGUUUGAUCGCUAGUGUUUGAGGUUCCUUCACCGCUUGACUCUUGAAUUUAUUCAAGGUCAAUUUGCCUCCCACUGUCUCCUUGGCUUAUGAGCCCUCUCUCACGAAAGACUCCUCUCCUCACAACGAAGACGACAUUGUUGCUCGGUUUGUUGAAGAGAUAACCAAAGGAUUUAUGUGGGUAGCCGAUGGAAAUACACCGCUCACUAUGAGGUUCGAGCUUUUCAUGAGUCUCGUGUCUCACAAAAUCCUCGAAAACCCAAACCUUGAUGUGUGCUAACGAGGGGGCUUUCCUUGUCCACAUCUCGUGAGGUGUUUUGGCAACCUUUUUAGUUGGGACUCGAUUAAGGAUAUGGGCGAUAGUCUCUAAGGCAUACCCCCAGAAUGAGAUUGGUAACGAAGAUCGGCUCAUCAUGGAAUGAACCAUAACCAACAAGGUUCGGUUGCGCCUCUCAGCCAUACCAUUAAGUUGUGUUGUUCUAGGUGGCAUCAACUGUGAAACAAUUCCACACUCCUUAAGAUAGUCUAGGAACUCAAUACCAAGAUACUCACCACCCCGAUCGGAUUAGAGCAUCUUUAUGUUCCUGCCCUGCUGAUUCUCCAGUUCUUGCUUAAACUCUUUGAAUUUCUCAAAGGUUUCUGACUUAUUCUCGAUCAAGUAGAUAUAGCCAUAUUUGUUGUAAUCAUCAGUAAAAGUGACAUAGAAGCGGUUAGCAUCCCUUGUGGUGGUUCUGAAGGGCCAACAUACAUCAGUGUGUAUGAGAUCCAACAAAACCUCACCCCUCUCACAAGUAUCAGUGAAGGGUGAUUUAUUCAUCUUUCCAAGCAAACAAGAUUUCCAAGUCUCAUCCGACCUUAAGUCGAAUGACUCCAAAAAUCCAGCCUUCUAGAGUAGGCCUAUGUGCUUCUUGUUGACAUGUCCAAGACGACAAUGCCACAAGGAUGCCUUAUCCAAAUCAUUAGAAGAAUUGAUAUGCAACACAUUAUUUUCUAAGUUGUCUAUAACCAUCACAGUUUCAUAUAGAACAUUACAAGGUAAUGCUCUAAAAUAAAAAUAAAAUACCAUUAUAAUAAGCAUUUAUUGCACCAAUUUCAUUAUCAAACGAAAUGUGAAACCUUGUUUGUACAAACCAUGAAAGAAAAUAAUAUUUCUCACCAUAUCAGACGAGUAGCAACAAUUAUUCAAAUCUAUUUCUAACCCAUUACUAAGCAAUAAAGAGUAAACUCUAAUCUUGGUGACAGGUGAAACCUUCAUAUACCCCAUGAUCAAGUUUAUCUUCCCGUGAUCCAGAUCCUUACUUCUUUUUAGGCCCUGCACAUCAGAACAAAUGUGAAAUACACAACCUGUGUCAAGCACCCAAGAGUUAGUAUGUGAUGAGUUUUUAGAUAGAAUAGUAUAAAUACCUUCAUGGGUGGGUUUGACUUUCUUGUCCUUAACAUCCUGCAAGCUUCACUUCCAGUGCCUAUUUUCAUGGCAGUAGAAACACUCUGCUUCUUUGGGAAUGGAAGAGGGAGUAGCAGGACUAGCCUUGGUCCCACUUGAAAAGGAUCCAUCAAUGGACUUUCCCUUGCGGCUCUUGGAGGGAGCCUUCCUCUUCUUCCCCUUUCAUUGCCUAAUUGAGAGCACAGGGGUAGUGGUAGUAGGAAUAGUAACAAACGAAUUACCUUUGAGACCUAUUUCGUAGUCCUCAAAAGUCCUUGAAGUUUGUUAAGUGUGACCUCCUCCUUGUUCAUAUGAUAGGUCAUGCAUAACUGAUCAUAACAUGGAGGUAAGGACUGUAGUAUGAUAUUAAUAGCCAUUUCCUUAGGGAAGUUCACAUUCAACUUUAGCAAUCGGUCCACAAACCUUUGCAUUUUCUGCAAGUGGCCCGUGAUGGCUUCACCAUCCUUCAUUCUGGUUAUGGUCAAGGAAGAGAUGAUUUCAUAUCGCUCUUGACGAGCACUCUGAUGGUAUAUUUCCAUCAUAUCUUGGUGCAUCUCAAAAGGGUAGAAGUCAUCUUAGGACUUUUGGAGUUCAGGAGACACGGUGGCAAGCAUGAUACAGGCUACCUUAGUGGCAUCUUUUUCAUGUGCCCUAAAAUCAGCAAUCUCCUGAGGAGUAGCAACAGACUCGAUGGUUUCCUUCAGCUCCUAUUCAAGGACAUAUUCCUUGUCCUCAUAAAGAGUGACCAUCCUUAUGCUCCUAAUCCAGUCAUUGAAAUUAGUUACAUCAAAUAUAACUCUCCCAUAGAGGUUUGUGAGAGAGGAUUCGGUAGGGUUUGAGCCAGAAGCAGCAUUGUUGGAAGACAUCUGAAGAGAAAGAAACACAAAGUUUAGAUUAGAUAAGGAAUCCUUAAUAUAACACCCAAAAUGAAAUAUUAAGGCUAGGACCCAGCACAAUAUUUUACAAUUUGGAAGAGGCACUACAAGAAAAAGAGCCUUUUACGACGCGCAAACCACGACACUCAGUGAUUUAUGUUACGCAAAAGAGAGUGACAUUAAAGACGUGUCAUCUCUUCAAAAAAUUUAAGGAUUUAUGUCACGCAUUAUUGCGUGCCCUUAGGUUAGUGUCUCAUGUAAAGAAAAUAAAAACACGGAGUGCACUUGUGCGUCCACUAACAGUGUCGCUUUAUAAUUAUUUAAUGAAACACGCCUUUUAGGCGGGACUUAUCAAACACGGAGGAAAAAAAAAUCCCCAAAAUUUUGGAAGACCCGCUCAUUCUUUCCUCUCCACUGCCGAUGACCUUCAAUUUCUCCCCUCCUUCUCUCUGUAAAACCUAGCAGCCGCCACCAUCAGAAACAUUGGCUUCGUUCUGUGUUGUAAGAACGCGAGUCUGAUCCUUCAUUAAUAUCUAAAGGGGGAAAAUCCCCAAAAUUUUGAAGAACCCCGCUCACUCUCUCCUUAGAUCUCCACCCGACGGAUCGACCUUCAUUCUUCCCCCUCUCUGUAACACCCUCGCUUCCUUCAAGAAAUCGAGGACCAUUCUCUUUCGAUCGUAUCUUUAUGGUGACGAUUAGACACAAUAAUCUCAACAUAAAAUUGGUAACUGAACCCCUCUUCACCUCUACCCUACUCCAUCUACAACGAAUCCUCACAUUUACAAACCCUAGUCCAGUUGCGCUUCUAGCCUUGGUGUUAUUUCUUCAUCUGUUCAGCAAAUAAGGGGAACACAAAUUCUCAUUAAUCCCUCAACUUCAUCUUCUCAAUCAAGCAAAAAGGAUUCUGAUUUUUUUUCGUGCAUCUGCAUCAUCUCUGCUGCAAUUUCACAUGGUAUUAUCGCUUUCUCCUUUAUGCCUCCCAUUUUUCUUGCAUCUACUUCUCAAACUUUUGAUAUUUUCCUGCAUUCGCAAGUCAAACUUCUUAUUUUUUGCUUGCAUCUUCUUCUCAAUUAAGCACAAAAGUAUCACAUUGUUUUGCAAUUGAUGUGAGUUUAUAGUUGCAUCAUUUUUUCUUUUUGUGCAGCGAGCUUUACUUGCUGAGCCAGCUGCUCGAUUAGAAAUGACACCAAUGGUCUGCUCAUUAUUUAUAUCUCUCUCAACUCUCAACUCUCAAGCGUCUUUGAUUUAUUUUGCGAUAAUAUUUACCAUUUUGUCCUUGGCUCAGGCUGCUAAUGCUGCUUGGAACAUGGGGGAGUGGGAUCAGAUGUCUGAGUAUGUAUCUAAACUGGAUGAUGGUGAUGAAAGUAAACUCAGGGUGUUUGGGAACAGUUCUGAAUGCAAUAAAAAUUGCAUCCAGAUCAUCUGCAACCCCAAAAAAGGCCUGAAGAGCAAGGAAGUGUUUGGCAACUGAGCUUGCUGCUCUGGUUAGUUUCCAAAUUCCAACAUCAAACCAUAAACCCUAAACCCAUGUGUGUACUGACUAUGUUAAAAUGUCUCUGAAUUAGAAGAGGUAUUCUUAUUUCCUUUAAUCAUUUUGCUACUAAUUUAAUGAAAUUUCUGUUCUAAAGGAUCAUCAUAAUUCAUAUUCAUGUUAUUCUUGUUUUUGACAGGUCAUCGAUUACUAUACUCUUCUAGUUGGAAACUCUAUUUCCUUAAACGCCAUGUCAUCAUUAACUAUUCUUAGUUGCUAUUCCAGCACAUUCGCAAGUAUCUACGCGAGCUACUUUCUUUAAUAUCAGAAUUAUGGUCAUCAUUCAGUCUCCCAGCAGCUAAUCGUCAUGUUCAUGGACCCCCGGAAAGUGUGCUUCUAUUAUCUAUCUUUUGUACAAUACACAGGUGUCAAAGGGCAAUAAUGUAAUUUGACUUUCUGAUCAGAUCCUGCACCUAGUUGAACAACUUUGUCUGGCCCUAAAUGAUGAGUUCAGGAGAUAUCUUCCUAUAAUUCUUCUAUCUGGAGAUGGAAAGACUCCACAUUAUAUGAAAGUUGAUCGGGACAAAUGAGCUGAUGAAGAUGAUGAUGCAGGUAUGGUGAUUGUUACUAAUUUUGUCACCCACCAUUUCUAUAUUUAAUCAUGUUAUAUGUAUAUUGUAUUCAGAAGUUUAGUUAAAUAUGUUUUUUAGGUCCUACUGCUGACCUUGACAUGGGAAUAAUGGAUUUCUCAGUAAGAAAAUAGUUUCUUAAAAUAUUAUUACUGAAGUUUCUUUCUUUUUAUAUCACUAAUGACUUAUCCUCAUACAGAAAUUUGGUGACGUGGGAGGCAUGGGCAUGCCUGACAUGGGUGAUUUCUCUAUGGGUGAUGACCUUGAAGACAUAUCUCAUGUUUAUUGUGUAGAGUGGCCCUGCCAUUGACAUGACAACAGAGGAUACAUGGGGCGUCAACUACCGAGCCCUACAAGAUCUGUUUGAAUUAACAGAGGCAAGGAUAGAUGUAAUAAAGUAUGAGGUUGGAGUUCAAAUGCUUGAAAUAUACAAUGAACAAGUCAAAGAUUUGUUGGUAAUUGAUGGCUCCAAUAGAAGAUAUCCUUUCAAUUCUCUACCCUUCCUUCUCAUGUUUAUUAUUUUUUUUAAUUUUUUUAAAUCUUGACAACCUACACAUUGGAUAUAUGAAACAAGUCCCAACUUAAUGAUCUUAAUGUUCUGGAUGUGUCUUUGGUUUCUGUUAAAUGUACACAAGAUGUUCUUCAUCUCAUGAGAAUUGGUCUUAAUGUUCCGGAUGCGUCUUUGGUUUCUGUUUAUUGAUUCUAAUUUAAACAAUUUUGUACUUCAAUUUUGCUCCAACAACAUCAGCCAUUUCGUUUCUCUUUUCUCCCAUUCCCAUACCACCUCUAAAAAAAUUAUGUGCUUCAUUUUUUUGGUAAUCAGGUGAAGUAGAACCUGGGAUUGUUAAAAUUCUCUGUGAUGAAAAGUUAAUUUGUUUCUAAACUCCUGAAUUGAAUCAUAAUUUUCCCCCUCUUCCUUUAUCAUGUCGUAUAUCCUUCUCUUUGCAUUCUUAGAUAGUUACACAUAUCUGUUAUAAGGGCACAUAAUUCUAAUUUUCUAUCCAUAGGAAGGUUAUUACAUUUACAUGUCAUCUGUUAAAACGUGUUUGAGUGAGUGGUCCUGUGUUGUCCUAUUUCUAUCUGUACAUUUCUUAUCUUGUAUAACAGGCUCUUGAGUUAUUAUUUACAGCUUGUCUCUAAGACUAAGAUAUUGUUCAUCCUUUAGUGUUUUUUUUCAUUUAUUAAUAAAUUUCUCAGUUUAUUCAUUCCAAAUAAAAGUCAGAUUCGAUUUCCAAUUUGGUGUUUCUCCCAAGAUUUUGGACCCUGUAUACCCAGUACACGAGUUUCCUCUUCCUCUACAUUUAGCAGAAUCAGGUCUCGGAUAAGAUGGAAUUCAUCAGGGAGCACUUCCCUAUGGAGUUAAGCUUAUAUCAUUUCCAUUAUUCUUUCUAAUUAAAGCAAGACUGGACAUUUGAGGUCAUUUGUCUGCUACCCUUCUCUUCUAAGUAGUCAUCCUUUUCGUUGUUGUGUGUUUGUGCAUGAUGUGUGUUGGCCUUCUGCUGGGGCUGGGAGAGUAAACAAGGGAUCAAAUUUAUAUAUUCAUGAUGCUAAUAUUGCUGACAAGAUAGAGAACCAGGAUGGAAAGAAGCUGAAAGAGAAGGAUAUGCUUAUAAAUAUUGCUGGAGGAAUUUCCUUUAUGCUCAAACACUUCAAGCUAUACAUUCUUUAAGGAAUCGUUUAUCCAUAUUUUAAAAGAUGCUCAAUUACUUGAGACUAAAUCGGGGAUUAGCAACAGAUUAAGUCAUAAUCAAUCAUCGGUUAGCGCCAUUAUAUGCUCAGGCCUUUUUCCUGGCAUUGCAUCUGUAGUGGUAUGUAUGCUUAAUGCUUAUUUAUUUAAUUUACAAUUUACAAUACAAUUGAUAGAUAUAUGAAUCCAUAUGUUACUUAAUUUUGUUCUUUUUUAUUUUUAAUAUGUGCAGCAUAGGGAGACAUCAAUGUCCUUCAAAACUAUAGAUGAUGUCCAAGUCUUACUCUAUGCAGUAUGUAUUAAAGAAAUAGCAAUGCACUUUCAUUCAUUUGUUUCAUAUUUUUUUCACAUUUCUCUAAUGAUAUUUUUCCUUGAGUCAUAGAAUGAUUGGCUCAUAUCUUGUUUUUUGAUAUUUAUACGCAGUUUUUUUCUUACGUCGGUGGUGGCGAAGUUCAAGAUUAAGGGAGACUUGUAAUCAUGUUUGGCUUUCCUUUCCAGUAAGAAACAGAGUUGUAUGAUUAUUUGUUAGUUUUAUAGGAAUGUAUAACACAUGUUAGCAAUGUAUUAUUUUUGUUUAACAUUUGAAUGAUUUUUUGUAUGACAUUAUAAUUUGUGCAAUUUAUUUUAUAUUAUGCAAUGGAUUGUAUUUUUUGUAUAUGGUAUUUUAUUUCUGUUAUAAGAAAUUAAAUGAAAAUUUAAUUUAAAAAUUAAUAAAUAUAUAAAUUUAUUUUUUUUAAACAUUUAAAUUUACGAUACGCAAAAAUGUAUGUCAUCUUCAUAUAUGACAUGGCCUUUCUUGACAGGGGCUUUCUUGAUACGCAUUGCGUGUCAUUAACACGCGCGUCGUAAGGUUACGACACGCGAAUGCGUGUCGUCUUCCUUUAUGACAGGGCCUUCCUUGAUACGCAUUGCGUGUCGUAACCGCGCGUCGUAAAUGCGCGUCGUCUCUCUUUAUGACAGGGCCUUCCUUGACACGCAUUUGCGCGUCGUCUGAGCGUUUUACGACGCGCAAUGAGCGUCGUAAAAGGCCUUUUUUCUUGUAGUGAGGGAUAUCGUAAUCCAUCUUGCAAAAUAUUUGAAGGCAGGUAAAUGAUGAUUUACCAAUUUCCACCAUGAAAAACGAAAUUGUUAUUAUGUUUUAAUUGGAUUUGAAACUCCUAGAUCAUUUGAGAUUCAUUGAACAAUUCAAUGGCAUGUUUAAAUCUCGAUUAUGCCCUCCAGGUUUGUGACUAGAAUAUCGAGGAUCAAAAACAAGGUGUGAAUAACCAUGCAAAUGUACUUGGUACUCUUAAUGUCAAUUACCACAUUAAUCAAUGUGUUGGUAAACUACACAUGCUCCAUUGACCUUAUGAUAAACAUUAAGCUACGCUUUGCCACCCUUACUAGUCAAAGUUAAUGUGUCGGUUAACCAUACACGCUCCAUCAACGACUUGGUAAGGUGCAAAAUGUAAUUUCAUGGAUUAGCAUCAAUUUCACAUAUUCCUAAAGUAACUAAGAAUAGGAAUUUAUAAAAGGUUUAGUUACUUUAUAAUUAUCAAUAUACUUUUAAUGAGAAUUAGAGUCUUUGUCUUACCCGUUUGGCUAACGACCCUCCACCAGUCGAGGAAAUGGUGGGUAAGAGUGGACACCCAUUAAGCUUCCAUUUUAUGGGCAACAACCUUAUACCCCUCUUAUAGACCAGGUUCGUGAAUGAGGCCUACUAACGGUAAGACUGACUUAUCUUAUACAUACAUACAAAAAUUCUAUGGUUUGGCCCUAAAGUAUUCCAAAGCGACUUUACAAAUUCCAAAACUUGAGGGCAUGCUUUGAAACUAGUCGAAACUUUUCAAGUUCAUAACCUAUGAGUGUUAAUGAAUUUUAAGGAAAAGACUUUUGGAAUUCCAUAACUUGAGGACAAGUUAUGGAGUCCAUUAAAAGGCAUUUAGAUCAACAAUUAAACUAACAUACAAGUGUCAAAUAAUAUGAUCUACCAAAAACUCAUAAGCAAGGAUAAUCCAAAUCACGAAUUUUCAAGAAUCAUAUAAACUAAUAUUGUAGUGGUGUUGAUUAUGAUGGCAUGUGCGGAAUUAGAAAGAUCUAGUGAAUCAUCAUGUAAAAUCAAGAACACAAGGAGUAAAUAAAUCUUUGUAAGCUCUUAUUAGAUCUAGAAAGAAUAUACAAAUGGGUUUGUACAAAGUUUCUCUCUCUAGUCUAACACUCCAAAUGGAUUCACUUACAUAAUGGGAGUUACUCACUUCCUAUUUAUAGGAAAGACUCAACCCAUUUACACAUACAAAGAGGAAAGCCUAAAACACUACAUCCAAGAGUGACUUUGCACCCUAACAUUCUCCCCCUCAAAGUUAGGAUUGGAUGUCCGGCUUCAAUCUCCAACGAGCUAGCGCGAUCAAGACCAAACUCCCCCUCGAAGUAACACCGGUCUUCAAAUCCGCAAAUGAAUAUUCGACAAACCUGAGAAGCUUCGAAUACCCAUCAUUCUCCCCCUUUUUAUAAUCAAAAAAUGAUUAUAAAACCCACUAAGGAUGAGAAGCGCCUGAGGAAUAGUCUUCACGAUACUCCCCUUGAUGUGUACCAAAAAUGAAUCACCAAAAAUUUUGCACGGAAAAACAAUCACGAAAAAGCCACAAAAAAUUUCCAAUUUAUGAAAUUUUUUGACUUUUUGGGUGAAAGUUGCAAGAUUUUUCAAAAUUCGGGUAGAAGUUGUCACUUUCUACAACUUGCAGGGACCCGUUGCGCCAAAAACAGCCAAAUAUGCGAAAUUCUCCCCCAUUUGAGAAACUGGGUAGAAAAUGUUAAUUCGCAUAAACUGCAGGGACCAAAAAUGAACAUGCUUCAAUUUCUCAGAAAAUUAGUCCUUUUUCAAAUUUGGGUAUGAACUGCCCAACACUCGAAAGUUGCAGGAGCUAAAUUCGAAAAUUGUUCUUUUUCAUUCCAAACGUACGAAACUUUGCGUCCAAACAUACGAAGAGUUUAAAAAAAACUGUCAAACAGUCGAAAUUAUAAGGGUCAUAUUCGAAAAUUUGCUUUUCUUCUUUCCAAUUCAUACGAAAUCAUACAUUUCGUAUGAAACUUACUACCCUUCGAAUCUUAUGCAUCAAUCUGAACACAAUUAACUACCCUUCGUACGAAAUCCUCUCUACCCUUCGUAUGAAAUUUCAUCUUCCCCAAUCAAACGAAACUUUUUCCUUCUCUCUCCCCUUCGUACGAAACUACAUCACCCCUUUCGUAUAAAAUCAUCAACAAUUUUUUUUUCAAUUCACGAACCCAGUAAAGCUUCGUUCUUUGACCAUCGUCUUUGGAACCCAAAUCAAAACUUUUAGUUCCAAAAUCAUCGAACACAAUCCUUCGUUUUCUCACUCAUCGGCUACCCUUCGCUUUUUGCAAUCCAUCCAUAGACCCUAAUAAACCCAUUCUGGUUAAACCAUUCCAUAUACUCAACAUUGAUUCUCAAAUCAUCGAUUUCAAUAGCAUCACAAAAUCAAACCUUCGAUUCUCAAUGCCAAACACUUACAAGGAAACCUUCCCGGUCAAAAACUUCGAAAUCAUAUUCAAUAAUCAUCUAUUACUGACUCAUACUCAACACACAUCCUUCGUUUUUCCCAGUUGAUUUUGACCCUAACAUUAAAAUCGUUUUCGAUUCCACAACUGUCGAUUUCAAGGCCAUCGUCUUUUUCAAGAAAUUCGACCAGUCACUUUGCAUUCUUCGCUUUUUAUUCAACAUCGACAUUAGUUAACAAACAUUCAAAAUCGAAAAUCAAUCCAUCGAUUCUACACACUUUGAUUCGAUCUCCAAAAUCACAAUACCAACAUCGAAUUUCUCACUCUGAAUUUCUAUCGAAAACAAUGUGAUUCAAAUGAACAUAGCCUCAAGUCAAAAGCAGAUUCCGACUCCAAUCAUUCCAACCAAUUGAUCCAAUUUCGUUUCUUUGAUUUUGUUAACCAUUUCUAUUUCCUAAUAACCUCUUGAAUCAAUAACAAUAUUAUCAUAGAAAUCGAAAUAUGAUUUCAAUUUUGACUUUUCCUCGUGUUUGACUUUUUCAGAUGUCGACAAACACCGAAUUUAUCUUCACAAAAACUAUUCUGAUUCCUUCUUUGAAGCAGUAAAUCAAGCAUUCAACUUCUUGAUUUGUUCGUUCAAUAAGCCAAUCGAACAAAUAAGACUUGAACAUCAAUCGAUAUAAUACUAAGUGAAUUAAUCAAUCAGACUUAGGCUCAAGUAUUAUAUUAAUGAACAGUAUUCGAAAACAUUAUGGGCUCAGUGAACAAAUUUCAAGUUUGGGCUUCUAACUUGAAUCGAAUCAACGAAUGGAGAAUUUGAUUGGACUAAAGUUGGAUAAGAUGAACAGUAAAAAAGUGAUUUUGAUUUUGGUAAUUGAUCUUACAAAAAUUAUUGGAUCAACAAUGGGGUUGAAACGAAUUUGAUCCAAUGAGGCAAAUCGAUCAAAAAUUAAAAACGUAAAAUACAAAUCGAAAUCAUGGAUGUUUUGGAAUCCAUUUGAGAAUUUGAGAUACCUUUUUGACGAAUCGAGAUCCGUUUUCAACGAACAAAUCAAAUUUGGAAGAUCUUGGUUCUUUUGUUGGAAUGAGAAAAUCUCCACAUCGAACAUUGUACCACCCACCAUGCGAGAUGUACAACUCGUUCUUCGUGUUCUUCAUCAAACCUAGAACAUCUUCAAAAGAACCACCAACACUUUUGGGUUUUGACUUCAAAUUCAAUGCAACCUUUGGAGAUUGUUGCUUUGGAACCCAAAUUUGCUUCACGGAUUUUGGCUUCACAACAUUUGACGAUUUUUGUGAGUAAACCCGCUUGUUCUUUCGAUUCAUCUUCUUCUUCUUUUUCUUUCUCAUCUUUUUGCAUCUUGAAAACUUGAUUUCAUGAACAAACCCACUUUCAACAACAUGAACAUUUUGAGUUUGAAUCAAAUCUUUUGGAGUUUGAUACUUGUGAUUUUCUUGGAUCACCGGCUUCCGAUAAGGAAUCAUUCCUUCAAACGAAUCACAAGAACACAAAAUAUCAUCGGUUUGAACUCCAAUCGAGCAAAAAACUUUUUCAUCAUGAGAAUCAACUUGAACUCCUUUUUCUUGAACAUCAAGAACAUCACAUUGAACUCCAUUGUCAAGAACUUCAAGUAAUUUAAGAGCACGAAGAUCAUUUGGGUCUUCAAUAAGAGAAACAUAUUUCUUAUUGAACAAAUCUCUUUCUUCUCCUUCCUUUUGAUUUCUACUACGAACUAAUAUGGACAAGGCAAUUUUAUUCAACCAUGCAAUCUUACAAAGUGGUUGAAAUACCAAGCUUCCAUGAUCAUCCUUCAAACCUCCAUAAGAAACCAUAUUACCCCAUGAAAUCAAUUUGCUUAACACCAACCCAUAAAAUUGAUCUUCAUUGACUUUGUAUUUCACAUCUUUAACGAUCACAAUCCAAGAAUCAUAUGGCAAACCCACCAUGAUCACAAAAACUUGAAGAUUUCUAGAGAGAGAAAGUGAUUUUGAAUGGGUUUUCUAGAGAGAGAAAGUAAAAAUCACUUGAAUUCUAGUGAAGAAAAUCGAAUUAUGAAUAGAAUCAAAGAUGAAUUCGAUUUCUAGAAUCCAAAAACUCUCUAAACCACGAAGAUCCAAGAUCAUAAAAUGAAUCACCAAAUCAAGAAAGCCACCAUGGAUCAAUUCUUGAUGAAAUCAAGAACACCCGCUCUGAUACCAAUUGUAGUGACAAAGAGCAUGGUUUGACAUGCGGAAUUAGAGUUUGCACAAUUGAACAUGGUGAUUUGGGUGUUUAAGAGAUAUAUUGAAUGUAUAUGGUGUUACAAAAAGGACAUAGAUCUACAUCUACAUAAUUAACACACACUUACACACUCACUUCUACAUCUCUCAAGCACACCUCUACAAGUGGACAAACCCACCUUAUAUAGAGGUGUUUACAUGUCUCUCUCUCACUCUUACUAACUCAUAGGUCAAAAGGCUAAUGCAACACAUGCAAUUGGGUUUUACAAAAGUCAAACAAUUAUGAAUAACUUUGCACCCCAACAGAUUGGUACUAAAUUUCUUAAUGUCCAUGUGAUUAUCAAAUAGAUGACAAGAGUGUUGAAUACUACGAUGCAACAGGUUAUUUAACUACGAAAUUUGACUCUUGUGAUGCUUUAGUAAAAAGUGUUCCAGAAUUUUAGUAUUCUGAAGGAUAUGAGAUAUUUAUUUGUGGUUCAAGAUAAGACAAAAAUGUUCCUUUGCAAUGUGACGGAGGAGAUUUGUAUUGAGAUAUAUGAAGUAUUUCAAGCAAAUGGGAAAAACUACUGGAUCUCGUUUAAUCAAUUAUCCAAAACACAACACAAGAUAUAAGAUAUCUAUUCGUGGUUCAAGAGACGACAUGAGAUCCUUCAAUAUUUGAGUUUGUGAAAUCAUCAUAAAGACGUAAUAUAUUGGCUGGUGAAAACAACUUAAUCGAUUUAAAUGUAUAUACAUUAGAUACAUUUGAUUUGACCGGUUUUUUUAGCCUGUUAUAUAUAUAUAUANNNNNNNNNNNNNNNNNNNNNNNNNNNNNNNNNNNNNNNNNNNNNNNNNNNNNNNNNNNNNNNNNNNNNNNNNNNNNNNNNNNNNNNNNNNNNNNNNNNNNNNNNNNNNNNNNNNNNNNNNNNNNNNNNNNNNNNNNNNNNNNNNNNNNNNNNNNNNNNNNNNNNNNNNNNNNNNNNNNNNNNGGUUGUUAUUUAUAAUUUGAUCAUUUUUGGUUAAAAAAAUCCUCAUAUAACUAUGUUUUUUACUUUGAACGUUUAUUAUUAAGUGAAAUAUAUAUGGUUAUUUUAAACUUUUUUAAGUUUAUGUGUCACAAAAAAAUCUAGGGUAAAAAGUAGUAUUUUUUAGUGAUAGAAAAUCAAAUUUAAAGUGUGGUAAAAUAGAUAAAAUUGAAAAAUUGAAAUUUUACAAAAAAAAAAAAAAAAGAUUUUAUAUAUGAUAGAAAUAAAUAUAUUUAUUUAGUCAAUGAAGUUUGUCUAUUCAUACAAAAUUAUUGUGGAUGGCAAAAAAAAAAAUUUAUACGAAUCAACUUGCUUAUAAUAAGUAUCCUAGAAAAAUAAUUCUAUGCGUGGUUAUUAAUGUUUACUUGUAUAACAAACAAAAUAAAUUUGAAGUUGACAUUAAAGAAAAGGAUAAAUUAUCAUUGAGAUAAGAUCUACAUCUAGAUUCUAGAGUAAAAAAGUGGACAAACAGACAAAAAGCUGACUUUUCUAUCCUAAAAUGGUUGUUAUGAACUUUUUAGCACAACUAAAAUGUACUAAACGUGAUCUAGUGAGUAGUGACUAGUGGUUCGUUUAUGCGCAUCUUUCUUCCGCGUACUUCACUUAUAAAUUAUCCUCAAAAUAUGUAUUUGCUCACAAUCUUUGAAUGUCAAUGUCAAGUGGUUGCGUGUCAUAAAUCCAGUUUUAGGUUUUCAAGUUUCAACAUAAUAAUAAUAAUAAUAAUAAUAAUAAUAAUAAUAAUAAUAUUCAAACAUACAUCCAUUUAUUCUUCUUUGGCGUCUAACGUGCUAAAAUACAAAUAUUUAGUUAUUUUAAAUAUCAUGAGCAUAAUGACAAUAUUAUUAAAUCAAUGUGAUGGCUUUGUUGGUUAAUCAUAUUUAAUAUAAUAUUAUAAUUUAUGACAAAUCAUUAUAUUUUACAUAUGAUUACUAAAAAAUUUAACAUUUUAAAUCAGAUCAGAGUUAUCUAAUAUUUACAUCUCUUAUUCUUCAAUUUUAAUCACAUAUAGAAUUUCAAAUAAAUUAAUAUUUUGAGCUUGCUACGUAAACAUUAUAUAAAAAUAUAUUAUUUUUUAUUUUAUUUUAUUUUAUUUUAAUUAUUUAUAACAUCUUCCAAGUAUUAAAAAAAAACAUUUAUACAUAAACAAUAUCAAAUUAAAAAGUUAAAAAUUAGAUGGAUCAAAGCUCCAACUAAUAAAUUAGAGCGGAGAUUACAAAAUUAAAAUUCAAAUACUAGAUACAGACUAAUAAAUUAGAGUGGAGUUGCAAAAAACACAGGUAAAGAUUUUUUUUGUUACCGUUAAAAGCUCCAACUAAUGCCAAUCAACCUGAUGAACAGCGAAAACAAUGAAACUUUUUAAACAACCCUGUAUCGACAAUUCCAAAAACCCUAAUCAAAGCAAAGUUAAACAAACAGAAUCAACUAAUUAGAACAGAAACUUACCAAGGGAGAUGCUAGUAGAGGGCGACGGUGGAGGUGGGUAUCGUUGGCAGAAGGACAAAACGGUAGGACGAUGGUGUUAGAGGUGGGUGUCCCAGUAGAAAGAUGCGGUGAAUCAUAUGAAACAAUGAAGAAAUCGCCGUUCUAAUCGACCCUAUUGAACGUUUCUAUGAUGUCGGAACAAUUUCAGCCCUAAUUCGAAGGCUGCAGAUCGAUGGAUGAUGACGGCGCAGAAGGAGAAGGAAGCAAUCGGCAGUGCAAUUGGAUGACGGGCGAUUGGAAGUACCUUCUAGAGACAAAACGAUUAGUCGGUGAAGCGGUAGAAUGUGUAAACAUGAAAAGCUCGAAAUUUAGGCCAGAAGCCGAUGAACAGUAACCGGCUGGAGCCGAUUACCGUACAUAAGCUGUAUUUGGAAUUAAUUAUAGAGAUUUUCUAAUAUGUGCCCUAAGGGCAGAUAUAAGAAAUAUUAAUUAAUGACAAAUAUUACCAUAAUUAAAUGUAAAAUACAUUAAUUAUAAGGAAUAUUACCAUAAUUAUAUGUAAAAUGCAUUAAUAAUUUCCAUAAUAAAUGUAUUUUGAAUUUAGUUAUAGUAAUAUUUUUCAUAAUUAAUACUUCUUAUAUGUGCCUUAGGCACGUAUUAGAAAAUCCCUUAAUUAUAUGAUACAUACGUAUAAAGAUGAAGUAUCUGGUUGUUUACAAUUAUAAUGAUUCCUUCGAGCAAGAAGCAGCAAAAGUAAGUAAAAUGAGUAUACCUAGUUCUGCUAAUAAACAAAAUUAAAAAGAAGAAGAAAGAAAACGGUUUUUUAUUUACUAUAAUAAUGUUAUUUUGAACAUUGCAAACUAAAAAUCGUUGGAAAUUUUAAAAUAACAUGAAAGGAAUCAAGAACAUUAAUUACAAAUGAUGAUUGCUUCACGACAGAAAAGGGGUUCGAAAAUAAUAGAUAAGUGAUACUUUCUUUAGUGUACCGCCAAAUUCCAGCAACUUUAAUUGACCAUCGACAACCCAUCUUUCAAUUUCCUUUCAAAUUGUUUAUGUAGCCACCUUCACAAAUUCCUUUAGAUUUUAGUAAGACUGAUAAAUGAAAGGCACCUAAAUAAUAAUCAAUUUAAUAGUUGGGUCUUGAUAUGUGCUAAGGGCGUUCUGAUUCACCGGCCUCUCUCUCUCUCUCUCUCUCUCUCUCUCCUAUUCCACUGAAAUUGUUUCGGUCGACGACAAAAACCUUCACACCGUUGUCCGACGAUUGUGUUCAAGGGAAAUAUGUUGCUCACACAUCCUUCUGAUUAUCUACUCCUUUUACCUCUAACAUUCCAAAAUUUUCAAUAAAAUUUUCAUUUUAAAAUUAAAAGAAACCAUUAUUUUCAACCUAAACCUUAUUCAAUCAAGUAUCAAUACAAAUAUCCCCAAAAUCAAUAUAUCAUAAAAUCUCCCAAAACAUAUCAUCGAAGGAUGUGUACGAUCAUGCAUUCGUCUUGUUAUGGUCAUCCGAAGUACCUGAAUCAUAAAAUUGAAUCUGUAAGCCAAAGUUUAGUGAGUUCCACCAAAGUACCACAUAUCACAACUAAACAGAUAUACAAAAAUGCAUGUUGGGUCCACAACCUCCCGGUUGGCUUACCCUGGCCCACAAUCUUCCUGUUGGAUUGCCCUACAAAUAACAUAUUGGGUCCACAGCAUCCCGGUUAGAUUAUCCUAGCCCAUAACCUCACGUUUGGAUUUCCCUGGCCUACAACCUCCCGGUAGGAUUGCCCUGGCCCACAACCUCUCGGUUGGAUUGCCCUGGCCCACAACCUCCUAGUUGGAUUGCCACAAGUUUGUUGACUAACCGCACGAAGCAGUACAGUCACAACAGUGACAACUGUCAAUUUUGGUCAAACAAAGUCAACAAAAGUCAACCGAAUCAACUCAACUCGUAUUAGAAUUUUAGGAGAAAUGUGAUAUUCCCUAAUGUUACUAAUGUACUAUUGACAAGUUAUAAUGCAAAGCACCCCUCUUGUUGCCAAUUAUUGAAUAUAAACCCUAAUUAGGGUUAGUAACUUAAAAAUUCGAUAAUUCAAUUAUAUAUUAUUUAGGUAUAAAUAGUAUUCACAACACAAGGUAGUUGAGUUCGUUAACUUUUUGCUACAUGACAAAUUCAUAACAAAUGUUACAUAUACAAAUUUUUGGUGAAAUCGUCACUAAAUGCGACAGAUUAUAUACCCGACUUAAACACUCAAACAUUAACGAAAAGAAUUAGGAAUCAUCCUAACUUUCGUGUAAUGUGUUAUUAUUUUUGAUGAUAAUGAUUUUUAUAGUAAUUUGAAUUUAAAUGAUUCAAAUUAAGUAAAUAUACAUCAUUUUCACCAUAUUUAUGUUUAAAAAUCACUAACUUUUAUAAAAAUUGAUCAUUCUUUUAGAAAAAUAAAAGAAACAUUUUUUGUCUUAUAUGGUGAUGACACCUUUUAUAAUAAAAUAAUAUUUUAAUCAAGAAAGUCAAUNNNNNNNNNNNNNNNNNNNNNNNNNNNNNNNNNNNNNNNNNNNNNNNNNNNNNNNNNNNNNNNUACACUCCAUCUUCUUCAUUUCCUCUCAAGAACAAGCUUUUCCUCUCAAGAUUGACCUCCAUAAGUUGGUUAUUGUAACGCCCGGUUCCCUGGUACACGUUUAAUUAAGUAUUUAUCUAUUUUGAAAGAAGAACUCGAGGAGUUGGUAGCCCUGACUUGUCGAGAAGCAGGCAGUUUGUACGCGGGGGUUUUAGUGAGCUACUCGACGAGUCGUAGCCCUGACUCGAGGAGUAGGACAAGCUGGAUGAAACCCUAAUCUUUAGGGUUUGCACCCUAUUUAAGCAUCAUAUUUGGCCUCCAUUCCAGCCUCCCUCACCUCCGAAGCACUAACUCUGAAACCCUAAUCCUCCAUAAGUGAUCUUGAGCUAUUCUUGCCAUUUUGAGUGUUAUUUUGUGUCUUUUGAAGCUUGUGGAAGAAGCAGAAGAUAGAAGACUCAAGAGGGAAGGAGUAGAUCCAGGAACUACACUCCAUUUGCAACCUUUUCUGGUAAUCAAGUUUUCAACUUGAUCAUUCUUCUCUUAGAUCUAUCUGUUUCCAUCUUAUGAAAGUUUUGGUUCAAAAACCUUGGUCCUUGGAGUUUGGGACGUCCCAAGUGGCUAAUAUCUCAGAUCUAGGCUCUAGGGAGGGUUCCAUGGCAUAAAGGUGCAAACUUUAUGACCAUGGAAGCCUCAUACAAACAUAUGAGCAAGUUUAUGGUCUUUUAGCCCUAAGAGAAUAUGCAUGGAAGGAAAGCUCAGAAUUUUAUGGGUCCAACAGAUGUUAAAACCCUAGAUCUAGGUUUGUAUGAAUGGAUUUGAGACUCUAUGGAAUUUUUGGGGUUUUAUCUAAACCCUUUCAUAAUAGGGCCUGUUUAUAUGAUAUAAUAGUAGCUGAGUGUGGGUCGGGCCCGAAUCUCGUAGCAGUCUAGUGUGGGCGUGGCCCGAUUCUCUUAGUAUUAUCUGAGCAUAGAUAUGUGAUUGUUUGGUAGAUAUACUUGUUGUCUGUGUGAUACUUGUAUGCAUGUUAGUAGCGGAGUGUGGGUGGGCCCCGAAUCUCCUGGCCAAUGGAGUGUGGGCGGGUCCUAAAUCUCCUAGAUAGCAGAGUGUGGUCGGGUAAGUUUUUCCGUACUAAUCUAGUGAUUCUAUACACAUAUAUACUAGUUUUGGUACAAUUACGCACAUUAAUAUGUGUUAAUAUCCAUAGGAUAUUUUGAUAUUCAAGUGUUCUUAGCUUGAAAUCCUUCAUCUUCACCUCUUUAUCCACCAAGAAAGACACUCAUGGUGAGUUCAUACCCUUCAUUUUCGUUUUUAUCAAAGUUUUAGGGGGGAAUACAAGUAAACUUGUAUAAUAAUACAAGUUGUUAUGCAUGCUUUAUCUUCAAGUUAUGUAAAAGUAUUAUUUACAUGAAAUAAGGUUAUUAUCUAGUAUUAUGAGCAUUUGUGUGUGGUAUCUUGCUUAAAAUGUAAAUCUAUGAAAAAUGAGUAUAAACAUGCUAUAUGUGAUGGGUUUUGAGCAUAACAACAUCCUAUGUGAUCAUGCAACCCUGAUUGCUUUGGAUCCAAGUUUGUCUCUAGUUAUACAUGCAAAUAAAAAUUCCAAAGCAAUAACCCUAAUACUAGCAUACAAUUUCCAAAAUCAAUAUGAAACUAGGGUUAGAAUAUUACGUUGCUUGCUAUCUAGUAAUAACACCACGGAUGAUCUUGACUCUUGAAAGCUUAUUGCCCCAAGUGUUGCACCUCUAAUGGAGUCACAAACACCAAAAGCAAAGGAUGAGUGAGAGGGGGGGUAGAAAAUUGGCUAGGGUUUCUCCUUGGGAAGCACUGGCCAAAUUUAGGAGGUCUAGGGGUCUUUAUAUAGUUGUGGCUGCUAGGAUUUUCAGGUGGAAACCCUAAUCCUUGCUUAGGCUCCAAGCAACCCAUGGACAUCCCUUCUCGAAGGCCUUGGACGAUUUCUAUAGGGCCUCCCUAUAGAAAUUCUUCCACCCCAUUCCAAGGGAGUCCAGCAGCCCAGUUUGCAACUAUUAAUGAUUUGCAAAACCAGCCCCCAUACUUUUAACUAGUUGCUUUAAUCCCAAAAUUAAUAUCAAAUUAAUUUCUGGUUAAAUACUAAUUAAAUAAUAUUAUUUCUAAUUAAUAUUUUAUUCUUAUAAUAUAUUAAUAAAUCAUUAAAUAACCUCUCUCUCUCUCCAAAAGUCAUCCUGUCAAGUUGCUAUGGUGAAGGCAACCCAAAAGGACCAUGCUACUAUCAAAUCAAGUACAUAUCAAUUAUAGUUAUGGGCUUAGACACCUAAUCAACCAGUCUCCCACUUGGAUAAGUCUAAUAACUAUAACUGCAUGUAUGACUUUAAAAUCUGAUUAGCAAUUGUAGCUUUCAAAAGCCGUUGUCGAACUCUGACCUAGUCAAUGACGCAUCCUUUAGAUAAGGGAUCAUAUAAUCCUCUGUUCUGCAAGAUAUCGUGUGGAAAAAGACAUGGAACAUAAUCAUUCUCAUUGCCCAACAGAUUGUUUCCCGAUUUCUGAUUUUUAUGACAUAGAACUUUAUUGAACACAUCAAUUUAGUCCUGACUGGGCCCGACACAUAAGUCAACACAAAUUCAUCGAGGGGCCCAAGAUAUCGCUUUUACUCCUUGGGAUAAAAGGAACAGAUAAACUUUGACUUAUAUGCUUGUACAAUUUACUCAUCGAAUCAUACACAACAAUAUGUUUUAUAACAUCAAGUUACUAAUGCGCUUAUGCAUUAUCAAUGUACAACCAACUCGUAAACAACGACUCAUAUAUCUUGGUUUAAAGAUUAUACAAUAUUAUCGUCUCACAAUCACUCGUGAUAAAUUACAUGAAGUGAUUCAAAUGAAGGUGGGUUUAAUCCAAUACUCAAAUCAUAUUUCAAAAGUACUCAUGAACGUUGCAACAAACCUUUGCUAUGUCUAAGCACUUAGACAAUCUACAACCCAAUUCAUGAGAGUCUUCAUUCAUUACAUACUCCCAAACUAUGAUCGACUGUGGAUGUUUUGAACAAUCCAAUUAUUCAGGAAGUAUAACAUGCAAAAGUGAAACACAAAAUAAACAAUUGACAAAAGAUAGUAAACUUUACUCAAAAAUAAAUCUUCCAUUACUUAAUCAUCAAAUGUCAAUUACAUUUAUAUUGUACAAGUUUCUAAUGUAACACUCCAAAUCAGUUAUCACCUUGGAAGCCCUUUAAAAUUUUAAAUGUUGCAUAAUUAGUCCCUUAAGUACAUUGGGUGUACUCAUGGGUACGCUUAGCGUACUUUACUAGAAUGAUCGUGGAGGGACAACACCUACGUUGGGCGUACCAAAAGUACGUUGGGUGUACGUGACGGAUGUCCAAACCCUAAUUUACGGACUUGAGACCUAUAUAAGCAUCCUUAUCUCAUUUGAGCCUCACCCUAAUUAGCCUCUUUCACCUUCAAACGUCUCUAAAAACUGUAAUACCAUUAAAGAGUGUGAUUUGAGCUUAAGUAGUGCAUUUGUGGCCAUUUUAGUGUCCAUUCAAGAAGAAGACGUUGUCAAGCAAGCUUAGAGUGGCAUUAGGCUUCAAGAAUAUGUAUCUAGUUCACCUUGAGGAGCUUCUGGAGGUAUAGAGCUUUGAUCUUGCCUUCUUACUUUUAGAUCUAGUUAGGUUUUUCUUUAUGGUCCCUUUUGUUGGUUUUGGACCUUCUCUUGAGAGUUGAGCAACUCCAUAGGUUGAAAUGGUUAGAUCUAAGCCUUGUGAGCAUGUUAGAUGCAUAAAGGUGCUAGCUUGGGGAGUAUCUAGACUCCAUGCAAGAGUUUGGAGCCUUAUAUGAAGUCCUAAUGUGAAGAAUGAAGUUUUUAAGUCCCAUAUAACAUGCAAGGGAAUAAAGUUGCCAACUUUAUGCCCUAGGACAUCUUAAUGAGCUCAGAUCUGGUUUUGGAUGUUAAAACAUCAAGUAUUAAGCACUUAGUGGAAGGAAGUGCUUAAUCUGUUAGUACGAUGGGCCUAAGUUAGCGUAUACCACGCGUGCUACUCAAGGACUCAAUACGCUGCGCGUACCAGUGUGGUACGUCGGUCGUACGCAUAGCAGUUGGAAUUGGAUUUGUUUUGGGCCUCAAUUCAUCAUUGGGCAUGGUCAUGUUUUGGGGUUAGUGGGCCAAUUUAUCUGUUUUGGUCCAUGGAUGUUAUGAUUGGGCUUUAUUGGGCCAUGAGACCCAUUAAUGAUUUUGGAUAUGGACUUUGGGCCCAUUAACUAAGGAAGACCUUUUGGGCCAUUGUGAAAGGACUUGGAGUUUGGGGUUUUCAAUUGGAUUGUGUUUAGCCCUAACCUUGGGUAAUGUUAUCAUUGUUUAGCAAAGGCGGUUAUGAACUGUUAGGAGAGAAACUCUCAGAUUUAGCCGACAGAGGUGAGUCUUCUCACCAUACCAAUGGGUCUAAGGCACCAAGGCCGGCCCAUUUUAUGUUAUGUGGUACACUAGCUAUUGUAGAGAUAUGUGGUAAGAUAGUUAGCUUUAUUCUAAGUGGUAUGCUAGUGAUUAUAUGAUAUUUUCAUGGAAGACCCCAGGAGGAGCCCGUGGCAAUUGUAUAUAAGACCAUGUGGGGGAGCUCAUGGCAUUCCUAGGUAAAGACCAUGUGGGGGAGCCCAUGGCAUGAUGGUAUAAGACCCUGGGGGAGCCCACAACAUCCUUAUAUGUUUAUGUAUGUGUUAUGUAGUAUGAUAGCUACUUCUAUGAUAUAUGAUAUGCUAGUUGAUUAUGUAUGUUAUUACAUGGAAGACCCCGGGGUGAGCCCGUCGUAGUUGGAUAUAAGACCAUGUGGGGGAUCCCAUGUCAUUCCUAGGUAAAGACUAUGGGGGGGAGCCCAUGGCAUGAUAGGUAUAAGACCUUGGGGGAGCCCACGACAUCCUUAUAUGUUAGUAUGCAUGGCUUAUGUGGUAUAUGUAGCCUUUAUAGCUAAUAUGAUAUUUGUUAUGUAGAUUGUAUGUGGUGUAUGCUCUGGGGGACUCACUAAGCAUUAGCUUAUAAUUUGUGGAUUUGUUUUAGGUACAUCGGAGCCCAAUGGCAAGGGCAAGGCUUGAUGGCGCGACGUGCACUCUCUCACGUGUUUUUACGAAACACUUUGAUGUUUUGAAAUAGAAGUUUUAAUUGACUUGAGUUUUGAAAACAAUUAUAUUUGGAUUUCGUGGCUUAUGGAGAUGUGUUUGGUUAAUCAAAAAUGAAAAUUUUCUUUUGAAAAUUUGGGUCGUUACAAGUUGGUAUCAGAGCCUUGGUUUGUGAGAUUCGGGCACACUCUCGGGUGUGUCAGGACUCAAAGUAAGGAAAUGGGAAAAACUGUUUUCAAAAAUAAAAUAAAAAGCUUUUAAAGAAAGGAAAAGAUGAGAGUGCAAUGCGUGUGAUCAACCGAGCCAAGUAAGUAGUUCCCUAAUGUGUUAGCCAUGUUAUACUGAUUUUUGAGCUUUGAUGAUCGUAUGGAACUUGCUAUGUGUAUGCUUUUUAAAUUUUAUAUGGUUAGGAGCUUAUAGCCUUAGAAUGACUGAUUUGGCCUUAUUUCUUGUUCCUUGUCUGGUUGUAGUCCUAGGGUAGAAUCUUUUAUUUUGAAAGUCUAUUUGAUCCUUUUCUGUGUAUAAUUUGCAUGCAUAAAGGCAACCGGAUAUAAUUGGUAUGGGUAUAGAAAAUCUUAGGACAACCUAGUAUUUGAGAUAUGUAGUAGUUUGUGGGAUGUGAUUUAUUUUGGGACAAAGUGAAGUUAUCAGGUAGAGCAUUGGAAAAGGUACAGGUAGGUAUGGAAGGUAGUAUUGGGCCUGUACUACUGAAAGCACAUGGCCUAUACCCGAACCAAUGUUAAAUUUGACAACUCCAAGGAGGACCGAUGUGGGAAGAUCCUCUAUAUGGAUAUCCUAAUCAUUAUGAUUUAUGACAUUUCAAUUCAGCAUGGUGGUGACACAAUUUGGAGCAAGAGGAUCAGGACUGGGAUCUGGAUCCGGGGCUGGAUCAGGCGACACUACCGAGGUCAUCGACGAGAGGCUGCGUGAGCUUAUUGUAGUCGAGGUUAGGAGGGGCAUCCUUUACGCUACCCCAGUUAUCUUUGGGACAGUCAAGGAAGGUAUGAUGGAUAUUAUGGAGGAGUCAGAGCCGAGAUUGUUAUGGGCCAGGUUGGGGCUCGAACUCCCUCAUUCCGGGAGUUCAAGGCGUGCGGAGCGCCAUACUUUUUUGGGGUCAGGGACCCCAUUGUUAGUCGACGAAUGGGUGGCGGAUAUCGAGAAGGCCUAAUGCACGAGUUCUUGCCCGGAUGCGGCAAAGGUGGUUUUUGAUUCUUGUAUGCUGAGAGACAGAGCCUGAGAUUGGUGGGGUGAGGUUACUAGCCGGGUGGGAGCAGCCGUGUGGCUGAGAUGACAUGGGCCAAGUUUGUUUGGAAAUUUGACUUGGAGUUUGCACCAGCCAUUAAGGUGUAGAGGAUGGUGAGAGAGUUCCAGAAACUCCAGCAGACCACCGAGACUGUGGCAGAGAUCACCGCCAAGUUUCGGGAGCGAGCAUUGUUGAUCCCACAAUAUGCUACCGAUGAGGACAUGCGGAGGACGAGAUAUCAUUCCAUGCUAAGGGAUGAUAUCCGGGAGUUUGUGAGCUUUACAGGGUGCAAAACCCUGAAUGAGAUAGUGGAGAAGGCCCGUGAACGGGAGAUGGAGUUGGACUUCCGCACCAAGUGGAAGCCGGAGCAGGCACAUGCAGCGGUGGGUUAGGCUAAGAAGCCUAAGACCUCAGACACUCCCAGCAGGGGCCAGCAGGGUCGGGGCCGGUGUGCCAGGUGUGGUAAAUCACACAGUGGGGCUUGUCGGACAACAGGCUCUUGAUGUUACUCUUGUGGCCAGCAGGGUCGUCUGAGCAGGGAUUGCCCCAAGAAGGGCUCGAUAUAUUUCCACUGCAACUAAACUGGCCAUAAAAAGGCCGACUGUCCGAGGUUGCAGGGAGGGGGAGGAGCAAUGGCGGCUCCUGCAUCCGCCAUGAUGAGGAUUACUGAUGGCAGCCCUGCUAAGGCGGAUGCUCUAGCGGUGAAGACCCGUGCAUUUCAGUUGACUACCGAGGAGGCUCGGGCAACGCCUGACGUUGUGGUUGGUACAUGUGUAUUCUACUAUGCUCUAUGUUUAUUUGUAGUGCUUAUGUAUACAUUGUAAUUGUAUUGGGACCUUUUUGGUCAAUGGUAUGUCGGCGCAUGUUUUGUGUGGUUUGGGUGCUACUCGAUCGUUUGUGUCUCUUGCGCUCAGCAAGAAGUUCUGGGACGCACCGGGAACUUUGGAUUCCCCGAUCGAGGUAGAGAUUGCAGAUGACCGCAUUGUGAGUGUUGCAAGGGUGUAUCGGGAGUGUGUCCUAAAUGUGAUUGGUGAGAGGUUUCGCGUUGAUCUAGUCUUAAUACCGUUGUGAGGGUUGAAGGUGAUUGUCGGGAAGAUUAGUUGGGGGCCAAUGGGGCCGUGAUUGAUUGCGAGUGCCAGUUGGUGAGGGUUUGAUCCCCAAGUGGGGGAGAAAUAAUUAUACAUGGUGAGAGGGCCUCGCAAGGGCCAACUCUCUGUUCGGCUGCGAGGGCUAGGAGAUUUCUGCAGCAGGGAUGUACGGGAUUUCUGGUUUAUAUCUCAGAUACGAGGGUUGAGGCCACGACGGAUGUGGGCAGUGUGCCGGUUGCACAGGAAUUUUGGGAUGUAUUUCUUGAAGAGUUAUUAGGAGUGCCUCCAGAGAGGCAGAUGGAGUUUCGCAUUGAUUUGGUGUCGGGUUCCGCUCUGAUAGCGAAGGCACCAUACCGGUUGGCACCGCCUGAGAUACUGGAGUUAUCUACGCAGCUUCAGGAGCUGGAAGACUGAGGGUUCAUCCAUCCAAUCAGUUCCCCGUGGGGUGUACCGAUCCUAUUCGUGAAAAAAGGAUGUAUCACAAAGGAUGUGCAUUGAUUACCAAGAGCUGAACAAACUAACGGUGAAGAACCAUUAUCGGUUGUCGAGGAUCGAUGAUUUGUUCGAUCAGCUGCAGGGUGCGUCUUGGUUUUCCAAGAUUGAUCUUCGGUCGGGGUACCAUCAUAUGAGGAUUAGGGAUAAGGAUAUAUUGAAGACAUAUUUCAGGACUCGGUAUGGGCAUUACGAGUUUGUGGUGAUGUCGUUUGGGCUCACCAAUGCCCCAGCAGCGUUCAUGGAUAUCAUCAACAUGGUAUGUAGAUCGAUGCUGGAUCGGUCGGUGAUCAUUUUUAUUGAUGAUAUAUUGGUCUAUUCUAAGACCAGGGAGCAGCAUUAGCAGCAUCUGAAAGAGGUAUUGGAGACCAUGAGGGCGGAGAGGCUGCAUGGCAAGUUCUCCAAGUGUUAUUUUUGUCUACGAGAGGUACAAUUUUUGUGGCACAUCAUCAACCAGGAGGGCAUUUUGGUUGAUCCAGCCAAGGUUAAGGCAGUGAUGCAGUGGGAAAUACCGAAGAAUAUGUCUUAGAUCUGUAGGUUCUUGGGUUUAGUGGGCUAUUAUCGGAGAUUUAUCCAGGAUUUCUCCAAGAUUGAUGUGCCAUUGACCCGCUUGACCAAGAAGAAUGUGAAAUUUCGGUGGGGCACAGAUCAACAGUUGUCUUUUGAGACCCUGAGACAGAGGUUAUGCGUGGCUCCGAUCCUAGUACUGCCUGAGGGGUUAAACGAUUUGGUGGUGUACUGUUACACAUCGAUUUCAGGGUUAGGCGCGGUACUGAUGCAGAGGGCGCACGUGAUAGGUUACACCUCGACUUAGUUGAAGCCUCAUGAGGCGAAUAACCCCACUCACAACUUGGAAUUGGGGGCAGUGGUGUUCACCCUCAAGAUAUAGAAGAACUACUUGUAUAGAGUAUGGUGCACUAUCUAUACUGAUCACAAGAGUUUGAAGUAUUUGAUGGAUCAACAAAACCUCAACAUGCGACAGAGGACGUGGUUGUACGUGCUGAAGGAUUAUGAUUGUGAGAUCCAAUACCAUCCAGGGAAGGCCAAUGUAGUGGCUGAUGCUUUGAGCCUCAAGACGGCAGGGUCCCUGAUUGGUAACAUUUGUAUGAGGAGGUCGGUGAUCUCUCUAUUGCUGGAUAUGAUCAAGGAGGCCCAGGUCGAGGGAGUGAAGAAAGUGAAUUGGAAGAUUGAGAGGAUUUGGGGAUAGUAUCCUUUGUUUGUUAAGGAUAGUCGUGGCCUUUUGACACCGUAUGGCUGGGUGUGGGUACCGGUGACUGGAGGAGUGAGAUAGAGGAUAUUAAAGGAGGCACACAAGUCCAAGUUCUCUAUACAUCCAGGGGCUACGAAAAUGCAUAGAGACUUGAGACUGAGUUAUUGGUGGCCUUGCAUGAAGCGGGAGAUCGCCUGGUUUGUGGAGCGGUGCUUGACCUGCAUGAAGAUCAAAGCUGAGCAUCAGUGACCUUAUGGAAAGGUUUAGUCGCUACCCACUCCCAUGUGGAAAUGGGAAGAGAUCACUAUGGAAUUCAUCACGAAAUUACCGAGGACGGCAAGGGGUAUGGACGCCAUAUGGGUGAUCGUGGACAGAUUGACGAAGAAUGCCAACUUCAUUUCGAUUUCUGAGAGUAUAUCCACUGAGAGGUUGGCGGAUUUUAUGUACGGGAGGUGGUGGCGAGGCACGGGGUGCCCGUGUCGGUUGUCUUUGACAGGGAUGUUUUGUUUACAUCUAGGUUCUGGAAGAAGUUCCAUGAGGAACUCGACACCCAACUGCAUUUUAGUACGGCGUACCACCCCCAGACAGACGGUGAAAGUGAGAGGACGAUCCAGACACUUGAGGAUAUGUUGCGAGCAUGUGUGUUGGAUUUUGGAGGGAGUUGUGAUACGUACCUCCCAUUUGGUAGAGUUUUCAUACAAUAACAGUUAUCAUGCCAGUAUCGACCGAGCUCCAUUUACGAUGUUAAAUGGUCGGAGGUGCAGGACCCCGGUUUGUUAGGACGAGGUUAGACACCGGGUCAUGGGGAGCACUGAGGUAGUGCUCAAGACUACCGGGAUGAUUCAGCAUGUGCGCGACUGGCUGCGGGUCGCGUAAAGCCUCCAGAAAAGUUAUGCUGACCGACAGCGAUUGGAUCUUGAGUUCCAGGUGGGGGACUUUGUGUUACUGAAAGUGUCGCCCUGGAAAGGGGUUAUCAGGUUUCAAAAGAGGGGCAAACUAGGAUCUCGAUAUAUAGGCCCGUUCAGUUUAUGGCCCGGGUGGGCAAGGUGGCAUAUUGCUUGGAAUUACCGAAUGAGUUUAGCCAGAUUCACAACACCUUCCAUGUGUCGUAGAUUCGUAAGUGUGUCACUGACGAGUCCGCAGUCGUAUCUCUGGACGACAUUCAUGUAGAUGAGAGCCUAAACUACAUUGAGAGGCGUGUUACGAUUUUGGAUAGGAAGACCAAGGGUCUUCGAAACAAGGAAGUGAAACAUGUAAAGUUGCAAUGGAAGCACCGAAGGGGCUCGGAAUGGACAUCCGAGCCGGAGGAGGAGAUCUGGGAGCAUUACCCCGAUCUAUUCACAUCUACGGACUUUGAGGACAAAGUUUAGUUCAAGUGGGGGAGAGCUGUAACACUCCAAAUCAGUUAUCAUCUUGGAAGCCCUUGAAAAUUGUAAAUGUUGCAUAAUCAGUCCCUUAAGUACACUGGGCGUACUCAUGGGUACGCUUAACGACUUUGCAAGAAUGAUCGCAGAGGGACAACACGUACGCUGGGCGUACGUUACAAUUGUCCAAACCCUAAUUUCUAGACAUAAGACCUAUAUAAUCAUCCUUAUCUCCUUUGAGGCUCACCUUAAUUAGCCUCUUUCACAUUUAAACGUCUCUAAAAAUCCUAAUAGCAUUAGAGAGUGUUCUUUGAGCUUAAGGAGUGCAUUUGUGGCCAUUUUAGUGUCCAUUCACGAAGAAGAAGUUGUCAAGCAAUCUCUGGAGUGGCAUUGGGCUUCAAAAAUCUGUAUCUAGUUCACCUUGAUGAGCUUUUGGAGGUAUAAAGCUUUGAUCUUGCUUUCUUAUUCUUUAGAUCCAGUUAGGGUUUUCUUUAUGGUCCCUUUUGUUGCUUAUGGACAUUCUCCUAAGAGUUUAGCAACUCCAGAGGUUGAAAUGGUAAAACCUGAGCCUUGCGAUCAUGCUAGAUGCAUAAAUGUGCUAGCUUCGGGAGUAUCUAGACUCCAUGCAAGAGUUUGGGGCCUUAUAUGAAAUCCUAAUGUGAAGAAUGAUGUUUUUAAGUCCUAUAGAGCUUGCAAGGGCAUAAAGUUGCCAACUUUAUGCCCUAGGACGUCUUAAUGAGCUCAUAUCUGGUUUUGGAUAUUAGAACAUCGAGUAUUAAGCACUUAAUGGAAGGAAGUGCUUAAUCUAUUUGUACAUUGGGCAUAAGUUAGUGUACGACGCACGUACUGCUCAAGGACGUAGUAUGCUGCGCGUAUCAGUGUGGUACGCCAAGCGUACGCACAACAGUUAGACUUGGAUUUUUUUGGCCUUUGAGCUUCUGGGCCUCAAUUAGUCAUUGGGCCUAGUCAUGUUUUGGGGUUAGUGGGCCAGUUUAUCUGUGUUAGGCCAUGGAUGUUAUGAUUGGGCUUUAUUGGGCUAUAAGGUCCAUUAAUGAUUUUGGGUAUGGGCUUUGUGCCCAUUAACUAAGGAAGACCUUUGGGCCAUUGUGAAAGGACUUGGAGUAUGGGUUUUUUAGUUGGAUUGUGUUUAGCCCUAACCUUGGGUAAUGUUAUCAUUGUUCAGCACAGGAGGUUACGGACUGUUAGGAGAGCAGCUGUAAUAUCCGGAUUUCUAGUUAUGGUCAUUUGAUUAUUGAUUUUGAGAUAUGAGGAGUGACUCAAUGAGUUGAUGCCCUAACUCGUCGAGUAGGAUCGCAACUGAUGACUCGAAUUAAUGAGAGGACUUGACGAGUCGAUGAGUGGACUCGACUAGUCCGUGCUAUUGGCAGAAACCCUAAAUCCUUGGGCAUGUGCCAAAUUUAAGGGUCCUUAUGGCCUUCAUUUGCGACCACCCUUCCAGAGGAAAAAACCCUAGCAAACUUGAGCAUGUGAAGUGAGUGAGAGAGCCAUCUUGAUCUAUUUGUUGCUAGUGAAUGCUACAGCUACACCCGUAGACUUACAACACUCUGACACUAUCUCAUUCGUUGAUUACUAAUCCGAACACAUCCGACGUCGAGCAUACAUGCGAUCUAACAUCCAAAAUUGAACCCAUGUCCUGAUUGGAAUCCCCAAACUGAUUCCCUAAGGCUUGCUAGCAACAUUCCGAGAAUGCGAUCUCAUGAUUGGCAAGUUUUUCUGCACUUCCAUCUCACACUAUCCUCAAAUCAUACAACCGCUUGGGCUUUCUUCCUUCCUGAACAGGAUGUGAAACUUAUCCCAGUUUCAAAACUGAUUUUGCUUUUGAAUCCUAAAUCGAUUCUCCCCCACUUUGCUUCAACUAACGUCUUUCGAAACACAAUACUGGAAGGAUUCUCAAUCCUUCUUACCAUUCUAUGCCCAAUCUACUGGAAACCACGUUUACCAUUGCUAGUGUUUCAAUACUAGUCAGUCCAAAAGGUCACACCACCUCUAAGAACCCGAAUAAAUCUCUGGUAAUAACCCGCUAGACCCAAGAAGCUCUGAAUCUCAAUUGGAGACCUCGGAAUCUCCCACUGCAUCAGGACCUCUAUCUUUGCCGGCUCGACUAGAAUAUCCUUCUGAUUGAAAAGGUGCCCAAGAAAUUGCACCCCGCGCAACCAAAACUCACAAUUGAAGAACCUUGCGAAAAUUAUCUCCCUCCUCAAAGUCUCCAACACCUCCCUCAGGUGCUUCUUGUGCUGCUCCUAAGUCUUGGAAUAAACCAAGAUGACGUUGUACUUUCCCAAUCCUGUAAUUUGGGGAAUACUCUAUCACUAUUCGCUAAUGCUUCUCGGCAUGCAAUUGGCAUAUGACAUCUCUUGAAAAUAUAUUUCAAACACGGAUAGAGGAUAACCCAGAGUCACACUUACUCAAACCCCUGGAACGAAAGACUCUAUCGUAUAGUUUCCCGCAUGAGCUAUACUGAAUCUAACCCUGCUGGAUCCUCAGAAGCUGAUCUAAAAUCUGCGGUCUCCUCCCGAGACCCCUCACUAUAAGCAACUGAUCUGGUUUCCCCUUCCCAACGUGCUCCAAGUCAAUAUCUCGUCCUCGAGCUCUAAAAGUCUUAUCAUUCAGGGUCUCACACCCCGAGAUACUCACGAUCUCCCUGCUAUCAUUCUGCAGUAUGCCCUGAUACUUUAUCUUCUUCCAUUCCUCAUCUGCUGCAUACUGCGGUACCAACUAAGCUCUCUCCCGAGACUUGGCAGUGGUCUCUGCCACAAUAUCAGUAGUCUGGCGGAGAUCUAACAACUCUUGCACCAACUGCUGCGCCCCAAUCUCUUGGGAACACUUUGCCCAGAGUCUGGUCUAAGAGUCAUCCCAUGACAUAACAUUAACCGCAUCAUCACUCAACCUUCUACCAACCUCUUUCUAUCGAUCUCGUGCUCUGUCCCUCAGGAGACAGGAAAUAAGUCGGAUCUUGUCUCCUUUCGUCUGGUACGAAAAGUGUUGGCGACAUCUUCCAACCAUCUGCUGCUAACAAUGGGGUCCCUAACCCACAUGACAAUCUGAAGCUUCGCAAACUCUGAAUUCCUAAAACAUCAACGUACGGGUCCCUAUCAUGCAUGCUAUCUCAGUGCAGAAUGCACCCGACCUCUCAUAAAAAAUCUCUUUAAUGCACUCCUUGAUCACACUGAGGAUCACAGGAGUCAUGUCAAUGAUACCGCACGUAAUCUCAGAUGGAAUGAACUUCCUCAUCUGAUCAUCAACCUGCCUGGUUCUAGAGUCCGAGCAUGAUCCCUAAUCGUCACCAGAACUACAAUCUGGUCUACCACGUAGCGUCACUAUACUCGAUAAUAUACCAUCACUAACAUCACAAUACUCAUCAAAACUCGAUGGAUCUUCAUACACUACGUUCCAUGGUCUUAUCUCAGACUUCCUACUGGAAGGAAAUUCACCUCACACUACUGAAGUCCCAUAGACAUAACCCCACAUUGCUGAAGUCCUGCAGACUCAACCCCAGCUGUUGGAUGAUAGAUUCCCGAACUGUCAACACCAAAAUAACACCCAAUUAAUAAUUAGGUUCCACUACAUAACUAUAAAUACAUACUUUGGAUAAUUACUACAUUACCCCAAGCUUGGCUUACCCAAGCCCAAGGCCCAAUCAAUAGGCCCAAAAUCAACUAGGGAUCAAAGCCCAACAUAUGGCCCAAUUUUCCAAAUUGGGCCCAAACCUCUACAUGGGCUUCCCUUAAGGCCCAAUUGUCCAAUCCAUUCCAUAAUGUCCCAUUCUAAUGGCCCAAUAUAAUACAACCCUCUAGGCCCAAACUAUGGCCCAAUUUUCCAAAUUGGGCCCAAUCCUUCAUAUGGGCCUUACCCUAGGCCCAACUAAUUACUCUAGUCCAUUUGAUUAUUCUUGGAUGGCCCAUUGAUAAACCAAUUACCAAAACCCAAUCGAAAGGCCCAACUCAAGGCCCAAGUGAAACUAGGGUUUCACAUAAAAUGGCGAUUAGGGUUAAGUUUCAUACUUAACCGAUUAAGGGCUUAACUCACUAAGGACUUAAUCCAUUAACUCCAUUAUUGCUUAGAUUAAAUUCUGCCGAUGAUUAUUAUUUAAUAUUUCACUUAUUAAAUAAUUCUCGUGUGUGUCUUGAUAAAUUCUCAAAUAUUAGGAUUUUCUCAAUUAGCCCAUUAAGGACUUGAUCCAUUAAUUCCUUUACUCUACUAGAUAAAUGGCAUGGAAUAAUUUGGGCUUAAUUCACAAUCCAAUCCCAAUGGCUCACAAGUGGGCCCAAUAAGUUUAAGGCCCAAUACUCAUAUUUAGGAUUUUUCACCCAAACAUGGCCCAAUAGGCCCAAAACCAAUCUCUAAGCUCAUUAGGGUUUGCUAGCGGGGCACCACCCACUACCACCUCGGGUAGUGGUGGUCGAUGGCGGCUCACGGUGGCGGCCACCACCUUACAGUGGUGGUUAUUACCACCUUACGGUGGUGGUUAUUAAUUAUCCUUUUCAUUACUCAAUGCUAAUUACAUAUACAAUGCUCAAAACCAAAAAAAGACACACACACUAACUAACAUAAUACACACACAGCCACCCUAGUGGCGGCCGGCGGUGGCUUGUGGUGGCGAUGACUUUUUCCAGCCAAAUAAACACACACAACACCUAUACACGUUUCUCAUUUGCACUAUGGACCCAACCACCGACCUGGUGGCUCACGGUGGUCCCGCAACAGCAGCAACACAUCGUCCAUCAGCAACAACAGUGGCAUGGAGGUGACCAUGGCUUUUGACAAUUACCUAUGUCUUUCAUGACUCCUCACAUGCAAAUGACCACGCUAUCAAGUCUUUACUCUGAAAACGAACCCAAACCCACCGGAGAAGAUAGAGGUAUGCCGGCCCCGACAUCAGCCUCGUCUCCAGAAAUCGCUGGCAGCAAACAACAGCAAUGGACUCUGGCGUCUCCGAAAGUCAGUGUCGUGAUAACGACGUUCACCUGACACAACAGUAGCGACCACAGCCUUGGUGAUUCACACGGCGGCGAACGACUCACACGAUGACGAUGCAGUGGCUCUUCCCGGUCUUCGGUGAAACUAUCGAUGACUCACGUCGUUGCCGGCAGUGAGUCUUGAUGGUGGCGGUUCCAUGGCAUGGUGGUGGGCGGCGACCUCAAUGAUCGGAGAUGUGAGAGUAAGAGGGGUGGCGGCUUCAUCAUUUAGGGUUAGGUUUCGCAUGGGUGGAGUAGGGUGACAGGUUUAAUACCCGAUUACAUAACUUUGUGAUCUAUAAACAUCUUUGGUCCCUCUAAUCCGAUUUCUUUUCAGUCUUGCUCCUUUAUUUACACUUUAGACCCCAACUCCUAAAUUCUUUUCAAUAUAACCCCAAAAUUUACUAAAAAGCCCCUCCUCCAUAAUUUAUUCUCAAUUUGAAUCCAACACUUACACUUUUAGUCCAUGACUCCAUAAAAUCUUUUCAAUUUAAAUCCAUUAAUUACCAAACGUACCCUUGCUUCUAAAAUUCUUCUCAAAACAACUUUGUAACUUACUAAACAACCCUCCACUAUUAGAAUUCUUCACAAAUUUAUCCGAUAAUUAUAUUUAUUAAUUUAUUUAAAUAAACGGGGCGUUACAUAUAUACAAGAAACUGAGUGGGUCAGGCUUGGGAGCCUGGUGAGCACAUAGGGUUUUCAACUCACAAUAAUUAAGUUUACUAAUUUCAUCAAAUCAUUCAACCUGAGUACCCAUUCCCGUUAUCCUCACCGUACCUCCCUAAAACAUCUAUUAUACGGGACCUAGCCUAAGGAUUUUCAUCGAGGUGACAAUACUACUUAGGGGAUUCCUCAAGACUACAUGUCAAAUAAGGCAACCAUGAGGGGGAUGGAGUACAUCUGUUUAACACAUAGUUCAAAUAAACACCUACAUGUUGCGUGCCUGGAAGCGUUCCACUAGACUGUCUAGAAUAGUCUGUGGGUGUCAUCUAUACUCCGCUAGAUGACUGGAUCAUCAUAAACAUCGAGGUCUCUCGUCAUUUUAUCACACAUCAACUAUUUCAUCUACCCAUGUUCUACCCAACAUUUUCGUAUUUAUAAAAUACAUAUACAGUUUAAAUCAUUUUAAACAUGUAUAAAUCGUUUAUCCAUCAUAAAUAUCAAGAACACAUAUAAUAUGCAUACAUAGCAUGUAAUUUAUAUUAAAUACUUCAUAUCUAUGUGUAAGAUGAAAGUAACUAUGCACCCACUUGUUAAAGUGGAGAGUCCAACUUUGACAGCACUUCGUUUCUUAAUAAUAUAAUUUCCUUCGACGAAACCUAGUAUUAUUACCACUAGAUUUUAAUCUAAUAUUUAUCGUGACUAUUUACGAGCGAUAUUGUUUUAUAAGUGUUAAACAAUACUUUUCAACCACUAUGGGCCAGACAUGAAACACCGGAGGGCGGGACCAUUUUGGCAUUAUAGCACUUCUGAAAUCCAACAACCCUAUGCGGCCCUUCAAACCAGAUUCCCCGUACCGGUAGUAGUUAAAAGAUAUUAUAAUAACACUUUAUNAUAUAUAUAUAUAUAUAUAUAUAUAUAUAUUGUUUAUAAGUUCAUAAUAACGAUAAUAAAUUUAAAAAUAAGCUAUACUUAAAGUAGGGUAAGCAUAACUCACUUACCGGGAUGUUUGGCUAGAAAACAAGCUCUGCGGGGGCAGAACUUCCGAGCCGAAAAGCACUUUUUCUCGGAGCCUUCUGGCGCUCCUCUAGCACUUAAAAGUUACUAUAGGUUAGGGUAGGUUUAGAGAGAGGUUAGAGAGAGAGAGAGAAGGGUGAUGGUGUGAAGAAUGAAGCAACCCUCACACCCUUUAUAUAGGGGUCUGGUCUUAGGUUAUGCAGGGCGUACCUUGGAUGUACACUGCACAUAUGAGAUUACGCUGCACAUAUGAAGGGGGCGUGUUUCAACCUUCGGAUGGGGCGACAUGAUUGAUCCAGAACCUAGUAUGCGAGAAUGCAGGGCGUAGGGCUUCUCUGUGCAGGGCGUUCAUGUGUAAUCUCGCAUCAGCCGUUCCGACUUCUAAAUUCCGUAACUUUCGCAUACGAACUAUGUUUUCGAUGUUCUUUAUAUCUAUGCAUAGGUGGAGACAUACUCUACCAUUUUUAUUUAGACCAUGUUGGUUAAUUUUGACUUUAUUUUUAAAGUUAUAUUUUAACAGGUCUGGACAGAUAAAGUCCGCUAAAAAUUCAUAACUUUGUCACCCGACAUCCGUUUUUGUCUGUCUUUUUAGCGUUGAGCUCUCAUUAACGAGAUCUUCGAUUCUCAUUUAGGUUGUGUCGGCUAAAAUUCGGUCAAUCUAAUAUUCGAAUUUCGGGCUACAUACUGCUAUGCGAAAUCAUAGACAUCAUAACUUUCUCAUACGAAGUCAGAUUUAGACGUUCUUUUUAUGAAUGCUCUCGGUUAAACGUAUACUAUGGAAUUCGCUUAGAACGCUAAGGAUAAAAAGUAAUUUAUCGUAAACUCACUUUUCACGUCACACCAUGUCGAGCCGGUUUUUUCGCGAAACUUCGACAUGUUAUAAAUUCUUCUUUAUAACUUGGAUUUUGGUGUUCUUUAUAUCUACGGAAUCCUUGUCACAACCACUACGAUUUUCUUCAUAGAUAUUAGGUUUAUCUAUUAUUUUAUUUUUGAUGCUUAUUUUCAUUCUUAAUUUAUUAUAUCUUAUAAAUAAGUAUAAUGCACAUAAAAUCACAUAAUUCACAUAAUAUUCAAGUAAUCCCUCUUUAUUACUUGAAAAUAGGUUACAAUUGUUGACCCUAACUAUUACAUCAUUACACUAAUGCUUAGCCUAGAGACACGAACGUUACAACAGAUCACGUUCAUGUAGAUACCAUUGAACUACAAUGAGGCUUUGUUGGCGGUCCUCCAUAUCGAGUAAAGUUGAUCACAAUUGCGGUACUGCUUUUUCAUUCGAUGACAAAGACUAUCCAAACUCUAUCUUUAACUGUUGUCGAAUCUUGGUUAUCGCCUGUCACCGGAUCCGUCGACACAUAUAGUCAUGUUUGCGCUAGUGCCCUCUCUUCAUCAUCCAUCCACCCUUUGCAUGGAGCCUUCAUUUUUCCUUCAUGUUUUCAUGUUAGUUCGACUUCGGGUGCAUGAAAUGUCUCUUGAACAGGAUCUUCAACAGGUCCUUCAUCGGAAGAAUCGGUUGAGUCAUCGAAUAGGCGGCGUUGUUGGCAUUGAAAAUUACUUUGGCGUUGUGGUUGUGAAAAGGAUUGGUUUUGAUAAAUUUGCAUGGGUUGAGAGGAGUACGGAUUGAAUGGAAACAUUUGUGGAGCCUUAGUGGGAAAGUAGUAGUUAGCAGGUGAAUUAAUGGGUUGAUCAAAUGAAGGUCGCUAAUAUGGUGGUGAUGGAAGGUUUGGUAAUUAAGGGUUUUGAGAUGGAAAGUUUAGUGAUGGAAGGUUUGAAGAUUUUUGUUAUUGUUUCUUAGGGUUUUCUUUUGACUAUACGAAUAUAUUUUUGUUUGGUGAAUUGAGAGUGUUUGUGAGAGAGAUAAUUUAUAAUAGUGGAAUUGUAAUUGAAAAUUACGAAUUUUUAUAAUAAGAAACGUUUUUUUUUAAUUAUAACUAGAUGAGUGACCCCACAUUUGCGGGGCCAGAUUUGUAUUUUUUUUUGGUCUAGUGGUUAUAAAGCCUUUGUAUUCUACAUUUUUGGAGAGAUCAUGUUGGUUGUAACAUAAAAGUAUUUAUGAUGAUAUAUAGAAAACAUAAUAACAAAAAAUUUGUAAUUGUAGUUUACGCAAACAAAUGACAAAUAGAAGUAUGAUGGUAUAAGUUAAUACACAAAAAAUUGAAAAUACAUUCUUCUUAUUUUUACCAAAGUAAACAUGACAAUGGAAUAGAAUGGUUCAUUCCAUUCCACUGUUCAUUGUAGCUUUUAAAUCGUAGACUGGAACUACCUUCGCCUACCUACACUAACUUCCUUGCCUUACGAAAAGCAGAAUAAAUGCCUUAAACCUUGUUCCAAAAACCAUAGGAUUUGGAAUAUGAUUGACACUUCAAGCUGCAAGAAGAGUUCAAUAAAAAAAUGUUAUUUUGCAAAAAAAAAAAAAAAAAAAAAAAAAAAAAAAAAAAAAAAAAANAAUAGAUGAUCGUAAGAAUCAAGUACGUUGCUAUUAUCAAUAAAGUUCGAAUUAUCCAAAACUUCCUGUCACACCAGUAUAAUAUCAACAAUAAAAAACUUAAUGCAAUUUUAUAUAUGUUAAUUAAAAUCAUAAUCAUACCUUGCACUCCCCUUCUCUACAGUAGAUGAUGCCCUUAAAUGGAUGCCAAUUUAGAUCCCUUAGAUGGGUAAAGAGGUAAUUGCCACAUAUUUAUUUCUAAAUUGGCAUUUAGUUAUUCAUAAUGACUGCUUCCCUCAUCGAUGCUCUGCAAAUGUAUGAAUCUUCAAAAUUUAACAAUAAAAUGCUAUAAAUGAAAUACAAGCUGUGAAAGUAUAUGAGCAUAUGCACAACAAUAAAAAGAGAAUAAAAUUUAAAAAAAAUCAAACUAAAAAUUAAAAUGAUUAAAAAUUUAUCAAUGUGAGAGACCGGAUAUUAUCAUGUAUCACCAUUCCCAGAGAGGGUGAAAAGGGAUUUUUCAAUUCCUGUGUUUUUUAUGAAAAAACAAAAUAUAGUAAAUAUAUAAAACUACUGAUGUUUAUUAUCAAGUUCAAUUGUAUGUGACAUUCAAUUAUAUAUCCUGCAAAAACAGAGAUUCGGAUGGAAUGUUGAUAUAUGAGAGCUUUUCAUAAGACGUUUAAGGUAAUCUAAUCUGAUUUAACAUAAAAGAUAAACUGUAAAAGGUAUUCCUCUAAACUAAAAGUACACAAUACCAUCUCCUUCAGUGACCAGUGUGAUCCUUGUCAAGCAAUUAACCGCAGUGGUUUUCCCAGCUCCAUUAGAUCCUAGAAGACAAAAAAGCUGAUCCUUUGGGAAGUUCAUACAUAAUACCUAUAAAUAAGUUUAAAGAAAAAUCAGCUUAUAUGAUACACUUUUACAAAAGCAUAAAAAAAUAGUUAUGUACUUUCACUUCAUUGUAUGGUGCACUUCUCUUGCAAUUGUGUCAACCAAUAUUACUUCUUCCAGGAUACAGAUCAAUAACACCCUCGGAAAAAAAUGUAUUGAAAUUGUCAAAUGUGAACUUAAAUUAGAAGAGAAAAUUUUAUAGAAAAUGCAAAAAUCAAUUAUACUUGAGAACCGAUAAUGUAAUUUAAUCUAAUUGAAACCUACAAACAUAGAAUUUUUAGUAAUCAACUACUAACAUAAUGUUCUAAGCAUUUUGUGAUAGGCGAAGAACAUCACCAUUUUUACCUUCAAAGAAGUGCUUGGUAGCCUCAAUCACUUCAUGCCUUGAUGGGUUUCUUCAUUUGCAUUAUGCUUUAGAUUAUUCAAAUACUGUAUCAAGUUAUACCUUAGUAUGAUAUGUUAAAUCAAAAAUGUGUUUUUGCUUCUUCAAACUCCAAAUCUGAAAAACAAAAUAUUAUUAUUAUUAUUAGAAUUCAAGUCGAAUUUCAAGAAACUACCCGUUUUACUAUUCAAAAAUUCAAUUUUUAAUCCAUUACAUUUACCAAAAUAAAUACCAACUAUCUUUAUUUCUCGCCACUGUCAAUCCUUUGAUUACAUGAUAUUUUUCUUGAGUUUCUAAAUCUAAAAAUCAAACAACUAAGACCAGAAAAACAUUACAUAAGUAAAAAAUGAAGUAGCAACUACAUUCUAUUAACCUUGCCAACAUCUUGUGCAAUACCAUGCCAAAAAACCACAAAAUAGACAAAUACAAACCUAACAAUUGAAGGCAAUCAAAGCAUAAAAUCUUCAACGUGCCAUUUUGUCGAACAUCUUGUGUACAGUAAGAAAAUGCUAAUAUUGUCAUAAAAAAUAUCCAUGUAUGGUUGUAAAUCACUCAAAAUCCAGGAAAAAAAGAAUAAAAAUCAGAUAAUGAGAAAUUGAAAAAAAUAGGACAUUAUUAUUUAACUAAUUGUGUGAUUUCAUCAUAACAGAUCUAAAGGACCCAAUUGGUUAUUUGAUAUCUAAUGUUUACAUAUCUACUGAUUUAACUUGGGUCUUAUUUUAUGAAGUCAAGUAUGUACUGGUAUUAGUGGGCCACCACCUCAUCGAAAGCCAAUAGAUAACAAUGAAACAUAUAACAAACAUGGAAAGACAAAGAUCAAUACAUAAAUAAUGAAACUGAAGAAACACAAAAGAAAAAAAAUAAAGGGGAAAACACAUUAGUUGAUUUCCUCAACUUGCUGAUAUAGAUUCAUGGAAUUAGAAGGAAAAAUAUAGGAAACAACAAAAUAAAUAAAUAAAUAACAAUACAAAAGAACAAAAGAAUAAAAUAAAAACAGCAGUUAAAUGACCUAGAAAUAAAAAAAAGAACGAUGUAAAUAGACAAUUAAGGGAAAGAACUUACGAAGAACCGAAGGGAACACAAUAUGACAUCAGACAGCUAUGCAAACUUCCUUCACUGUUUAUUAAUCAUGUAUCAGAAUAAGAAAACUAAGCACACAAUAUUAACCUUACAUAUAGGUUAGAUGGGGAAAAGUAGGGAAAAGAUACCUAAAGAGGAGAGAUGAGUGGUAAUAGAGACUAAGGGUGCGUUUGGUUGUGGAAAACUAUUUUCAUUUUCUAUGAAAAUGUUUUCAGAAAAUAGAGUUGAGUUUUCAUUUUCAGUUUUCAAUGAAAACGCGUUUGGUUGGAACGGGUGAAGUUUUUAUUUUCCAUCUUAGAAAUUUGGAAAACUGUAAAAAUCACUUUUCUAAUUUAGAUACAAUUUUGAAAACUGAAAAUUUUCAUUUUCUUAGAAAACUUUGGAAAACUAAACGAACCAAACGUGUUUUCAAAAUUUCCAUUUUUCUUAAAAAUGUUUUCUAGAAAAUUGGAAAAUUUUCCACAACCAAACACACCCUAAACCUUUUCCAUCUCCUCGCCUCUAUAGAUGUUGGUUUGAAAAAAACUGUGUUGUGGUGAGUAGAUACCAAUUGAGCACCAGCCAACCACUUUAACAUUUAGUCCCUGUUGCUUCACCAUUUGUUGUUCUUUUAACAUCUUAAACUACAAAGAAUGCUCAAAGCUACAAAAGAAUUGUAAUUAGCUGGGUAUAAAUGAGAAGCAAAAUAAAUAUGGGUUAAACCAUGUUCCUAACUAAAACCUCUACCAAUGAUUUUUUUUGGUAGAUUCAUCGCCAUCUGAGAGCCCUUCUAUAUUCAAUUUCCUGGUUCGAACACAGAAGUCGUCAUGUCACUUUUUCUCCAGUUUCUAGUUGUUCCGAUACAGCCAAUACACAUAGGUGCAAUAAACAGUCCUUGAGGGAGUCUACCCUAUAGUCUUGAAUCUUAUGGGAGUGGAUUAGUUCCAUUUUAAAUCAAGUAAAUGUGAACUUGGAAAGUUUUGGAAGAAUUUGUAUAUAAAAAAACAUGGAGUAGUCGGUUGAAUCGGGUCGAUGAGAUAACCUGAAGAAGGAAUGUUAUACUCAUCUUCGUUUCUCAUUCGAUUUCGAUUGUUAGAAUAUAGAAGGAAAAGGGAAGACAAUCAUAAGGACGUGUAGAGGUGGUGGAAACGAUCCACUUGAAAAUGUGGCUUGUUGGAAAUCAAAGCCCUAAUCAAAUCGAGAAGGAUAAAAGAAAAAUCGAGGAAGUCAUCGUAGCUACAUCUGGUUUUUGGCAGUGAAAAAAUUUUAAGAGAAUAAGAAUUUAGGAAGACAAUAAAGUCGAUGACGGUGGAUAGAGUCAGUGAAGAAGAAGCUGAUCAGAGAAAGAAUGGUGGUGGAAGGACACCAAUCAGUGGAGCCGAUGACGAUACCAUAAAAGGCACAUCUUAAUAAAGUUGGAUUUGAAGUGGUGCAAGGUAAUUGGAUGAGGAGGCGGUGAAGAGAUGUAGAUUCAUAGAAGAGGAACACGUAUCUUGCCCAUUGAAUCAGAAAGCUGAUGCGACAACACGUGGUCCUAAUAAUAUAGAUAUUGAUAGAAAAUGACCCAAAACAUAGAAUAGACAGAAGUAAACACACUAACAUUAAUGGAGGACCAGUUUUGCCAAAACCUUAGGAACUUUAUUGUUCCUAAGGAUGGUCCUCCUUUAAUAUAUAUAUAUAUAUANGGAUCUCAUUUUUGUUUUGACCAAGUUUAUAUAUAUAUAGGCUUAGGUUAUUUUGUUUUUACUAAGUAUUGUGUGCUAGAAUGCACAGAUCUGGACCAACGGAUGAAAUUAAUCAAUGGACAUGAUUUGAGAGUGUAUGAUAUUACAAUGGUGUAACAUGUACCAUAUAAUCACAAAAUUUUUAGCAAAAGGGUAUUUUGGACAAUUAACUACAUUUAUAAAAUGAAAUUAUCGAAUUUUUAGGGAUGACUAAUUCUCCUAAUUUAAAAAAAAUAUGAAUUUUUUAAUUAAUUCAAUUUCAAUUUUUACCGAUUUUAUUCUGUCAGAAUAUUUUUUGUUAGAAUGAUGCUCUUUCAGAAUUUUGUUCUAAUAGAAUAUUAUUUAAGAAAAACAAAAUUCUUGAAUUAGAUGUUGAAAAAUAACAAACAUUCUAAUAUAUUCUUAUACAUCCGAACUUAAAUACAAAUUCAUACAGACUAAAAUCCUUAUACAUUUUAUAUAUAGUUAUACAUAUUCUGAUAGAAUAUCCACUUGAUCUUCUCAUAUAUACUUGUUGUUGAACUCGAUUCCAAAUAUUUCUCUUGUAUGAUCAAUAUUGAAUUCUUCCCCAUGCAAUUCUAAAAGAAUAAGAUAUAGUACCAUUCAAACAUUCUCAAAAAACCUUCUAACAGAAUGCGUUUAUAUAAAUAAAUUUUGACAGAAUACAUUACAGAAUGCACUUAAAUAACCUUUUUUGCAAUCAAAAUCCACCUUGCCAAUAUCCAUGUGAAAUUUAGAACCAUGUGAAUUUUAGUAAAAUGAUUUCCUAUCUACAACCAUUAAAAUCUAUCUUUGAUAAAAAUUUAUAUUCUAUGAGAAUGUCAUUAAAUCAAAUUCUAGGCAUUUACAAUAUGUGAGAAAUUUGCCAUAAAAACAAAAUUCUAGGCAUUCUUGAAUGUUUGAACAAUCAUAUCCUCCAUCAGAAAAUAAGAAAUAACAAUUUGAGCUGAUAAUUUGGCCCGAAUAGCCUGUUGUACUCUUUUGUAGUUUUGCAUAAGCAUAAAACAGAAAAUUAAUUUAUUGACAAAGAAAAUCGAGUUUUGAGUUCAAUAGAUUAGAAUUGUAACUGCACAACGAACAUGAAUUUGUAAGAAAAGUUGCAAUUUCUACAAUAAUCGAUUACUAUUUUAUAUACAACCCUCUAUAGAAAUUAAUGGAAAGAAAAUAAAACAAACCUCAACAUAAGUCAAUGAUGGAAGUGUGGUUGAAAAUUGGAAUCGAUUGGCAUCAAACAAAAAUCAAAACACAAGAAAAACAUACUUGCAACUAUGGUUAAUUGGUCGUUGAUGGCAACUAAUGAUACAUGAUGAAGCAGAAUGUCUACUUACCUCAAAAUCGACACCACCAGGCACCCCUUUCUUCUUCCUACUCGAUUUCAGCCUCACUUCCCUUCAUCCUCUUCUCUUCCGAUCGCACAACCCCUCCCCUCCAGAUUUCUUUUUCUCGGCCGAUAGCAAAAAGGGAACCAACGAAACACGUCCUCGCACAAUGGACUUGGACGGCUAGGGUUAGUUUAGGGCCUUUUAUGGUAACUGUUCCAUUAAUUAAGGAGUUUUAUAUCUAUAUAAGAGAAUUAUUUUUGGUUUAAUAAAUGAAGGUGAUGUAAAGUUACAAAAUUACCCUUAUAUUAUUUUUUAAUAAUUUUAUUAUUCCUAAAUUCCUAUUGGUGCAUUUAUGCACACAAUAGUUGCUAAAAACAUUUGAACCUAGCUCUCUCUCUCUCUCUCUNNNNNNNNNNNNNNNNNNNNNNNNNNNNNNNNNNNNNNNNNNNNNNNNNNNNNNNNNNNNNNNNNNNNNNNNNNNUAUAUAUGAAUGUACAAAAGUGAAUGGAAAUGAAUGUCCUGAAAAUAAAUUCAAUCAAAGGGAAAUUGCAACCUGGUCCAACCCCUCCUCCACUAAUCACAAUCCUCUAUUCGUUUCUCUCUCAUCUCGCCAACAAUUUAGCGAUGGAAGCUUAACGAGCCCCCUAACGAGCGCUAAGGGCGGUGUUCUCCUCCUUUUAGCGACCCUAGCGAUCCGGUAGCGAGCAUCCACUCCGUUUUGUCUAAUUGUAGAUGGUUUUCAUUGUUUUCAUUUCCUAGUGGUUGGAGUGUUAGAUAUAUAGAAGGGCAUGAUUAUAAGAAGACAACUUUGAGCGAAGGUUUUUAUUAUUAUUAUUAAUAAUUUUUUUUAGUUUCAACAAUAAAUUAUAUCUUAAUUUAUUUAUAUUUUAAAUAACAUGAAAAAAAUUUAUUAAAACUUUUUUUUGUCCUUAGACAACUGUAGUAUCUUUAAAAGUAUUUUUUCUAGUAGGGAUAUGCAAAACUUAUAACUGAUAUGCAUUUACACAUUUAGUCAUUCAAGUUUUUUUUAUCCACAAAAGACCAUUAAAGUUAAAUUUUACCUAUUAAAUAUAUCAUUAUAUAACCUGAUAAAGAAGAAGCCAGUUGCUUUUAUGACGUGACAUUUUAAAUUAUAUUUUUUUAUAUCUUUUUUAUGAUGUGGCAUUUCUUUAUAUAAGUUUUGUUAUAGAACAUAUCAAUUGCGAAACAUUUGUUGUUCACACUCUCAUCUUCUUCACCAUUUAUCACAUCCUUAUCCUUGUUGUUCAUAUCCACAUCUUCUUCACCUCCUCCAUAUAAAUCACGUUCUAAUCGAUGUUUUAAACCUAGAAAUUUAUAUUGCAAUCGUUUUAUUCUACUAGUAAUUUUACAAUCAAAAACUCCCUAAUCCGCCUACUAGAGGUGUUCAUGAUUCUUAGAUCCCUCGCCAGAAAAAUAUCCCAACGACAAGUACACUGAGAAAAAAAACCAUCUAUCAAAGUCAAGAAACACACCUUUAACAAAUCUAGAAAACACACCAUCGCUUCUGUCUGGUUCUGUUCUGCCUAUCGUACCUAUCACUAUCGCUAACCUUCAAAAUAGGACCUUUUAUAACUAAAUGGAAUCAAUUUCAAAAAUUGAUGCCUCUCAUCCUCCUUCCUCCUAAUUCAGAAUAUGAACAAGGUGUGAUUAUGUUUUCAUGUGUUUCAAGAAAAAACCGAUAUUAAUUCUUCCAAAAAUCGAGCUCAGUUUGUAGAUUUCUUCCAAAGUGAUUUCAUAUACUAGAAAACAGCCAUGGAAACCACAACAGUUCUCACUUAAAAUUGAUCGAUUUAAUAAAGGUUAUUCCAUGGCUUCGAAGUACGUCUCACUGAAACCAUAGCAACCGUCUUGAUGGAAAUAGUAGCAACGGUCUUCGUGAAGAUCGAGUGGGAUGGAAGGGGACUAUCAUUGGAUUUUUUUUCAUAGAGAUACAAGAGCGAGUAGUCAUAAAUAUGAAAUUGAAGAUGACCAAGGUUAUGGCCUUCAUUGGUUGCUUGUGUUUUUGUGUUUUGAUUCCUCUUUCUUCAAUCGAUUGUAGGUUUAAAUCGAUGGGUCUAAAAAGAACUCAAAUCCUUCCUUAUUAUGAUUCAUGUUUUGUUAGAGUGCUAGAAAUUUGAGAGGAAAAUACGUACAAGGGGAGAGAUUAUUUUGAAGGGUGAAGAUGGCUUGCAGAAAUGAAGAAAACAAAUACAGGAGAAGAUAAUGUUGAUGGAUCCCUAAGAGAGAGAGAGAGAGAGAGAGAGAGAGCUCAAACAUAAAACAUGAAAUGGAAAAAUAAAAGCCAUAGGGAUGAAGUUUUGAUUUCUAUUUUUUUUUUUAAAAAAAAAACCCACAUAUACUAUGUUUUAUCAGUGAAACCGAAAUUAUAUUGGAUGAUUAGUCUAUUUAGCAGGUAAAACUUAAUUUUAAUGGUUUAUUGUGCAAAAAAAAAACUUGAUUGACUAAAUAUUUAAAUGCAUCAAACUUUGUUGUGCUACAAUCCCAAAAACCUCAUAAACUAUUUUAAUUCUACAAGACACCUUGGAUUAUUGAAACGUGUAAACAACAAACUAGGGAUGAGCAUAUGGACCGGGGAACCGGCCGGAACCGGUACCGGAACCGGAACCGGCACCGGAACCGGAACCCGAUGGAACCGGUCGGGCCGGGACCGGGACGUUAUUUUUGUGGAUUUUUGGAACCGAGAACCGGUAGGAACCGGAACCGGUAGAACCGGCAAAAACCGGAACCGUAUGAUGCUAUUUUUCAAGGAGCGGUUCCAACAUUUGAAGACACGACAAGAACCAGUAGGAACCGGGAACCGGUAGAACCGCCGGGCCGGUUCGGUUCUUGAUUUUGGCCGNCUGUUCUUGAUUUUGGCCGAAGCCGGUUCCCCGGUCCGGUUCGGUUCGGGCCGGUUCGGGCCGGUUCGGUCCUUUUGCUCAUUCCUACAACAAACUAUAUAUUUAAUUUUUAUCUUUUUUUUUAAACGACAAAUCUAAUCUACUCCCAAACUACACCUUAAAUCCACCUAUGUCAACGACGAGACUUGAACCCUCAAUCUCAACGAGAAAGGACAACACCGGAUACCGCUAGGCUAUAAGCCCUUUGAUAGGCUACCAACAAGUGCUUCUUCGGUUCUUCGGCUACUAUAAUAUUCAGAUUUAGGAAGUAUACGAUCCAAUAAAUACAAAUAUUUCACAUUAUUACAUAAAAUAAGUAAAUACAAUGUAUGAACACUUAGCUAAUCACCUCGUCUACUAGUCGCUUGUUAGUCUCGGUUUUAUAUAUAUNNNNNNNNNNNNNNNNNNNNNNNNNNNNNNNNNNNNNNNNNNNNNNNNNNNNNNNNNNNNNNNNNNNNNNNNNNNNNNNNNNNNNNNNNNNNNNNNNNNNNNNNNNNNNNNNNNNNNNNNNNNNNNNNNNNNNNNNNNNNNNNNNNNNNNNNNNNNNNNNNNNNNNNNNNNNNNNNNNNNNNNNNNNNNNNNNNNNNNNNNNNNNNNNNNNNNNNNNNNNNNNNNNNNNNNNNNNNNNNNNNNNNNNNNNNNNNNNNNNNNNNNNNNNNNNNNNNNNNNNNNNNNNNNNNNNNNNNNNNNNNNNNNNNNNNNNNNNNNNNNNNNNNNNNNNNNNNNNNNNNNNNNNNNNNNNNNNNNNNNNNNNNNNNNNNNNNNNNNNNNNNNNNNNNNNNNNNNNNNNNNNNNNNNNNNNNNNNNNNNNNNNNNNNNNNNNNNNNNNNNNNNNNNNNNNNNNNNNNNNNNNNNNNNNNNNNNNNNNNNNNNNNNNNNNNNNNNNNNNNNNNNNNNNNNNNNNNNNNNNNNNNNNNNNNNNNNNNNNNNNNNNNNNNNNNNNNNNNNNNNNNNNNNNNNNNNNNNNNNNNNNNNNNNNNNNNNNNNNNNNNNNNNNNNNNNNNNNNNNNNNNNNNNNNNNNNNNNNNNNNNNNNNNNNNNNNNNNNNNNNNNNNNNNNNNNNNNNNNNNNNNNNNNNNNNNNNNNNNNNNNNNNNNNNNNNNNNNNNNNNNNNNNNAUAUCGAUGGCCUGCUUCAAGAAAAGCUAAUCAGCUCGUGAAACUGAAAAUAGUCAAUGCAUGGAAACCCUUUGUUUACCACCAAAGCUCUAUCUAAUAGAUUGCAAUAAUUACAUAACAUUUAACACUUUCCCAAAAACUCUAUAUAAUAUAUAUGUAGAUAAGAAUGCAUGUUCACAGUUUACUCUCUGUCCCGACCUUUCCAUCUCUAAAGUUCUUCUCUACAUUGAUUCGAAGAGUUUUGAUCUUAAAACUUUAAGGGCUUUAUUGCGUGUGCCGAGAUAUUGUAAAGAUCAAUCAACCAACAGAAAAUGGUGAUUGAAGGACGUUAUAUAUAUAAUAUUUGUUGCUUCAAUAUAUUUUUCAAGGUUCUAACUUCUAAAAAGCUGCUUUUAUCAUGACAUAUCAUAGUUCCGAGGCUUGUGUCAUGGGUCAUGUUUUAAUAAAAUGUCAGGUAAAUUAUAUGUGUACUCCAACUGUUUUGUAAGAUUUAAAUAGUCAAAAUAUCAUGUUUUUAACAUUUUAAAAAAAAGUUAAAUUGUAUGCACUCUAACUGUUUGAUGAAAUGCAUAAACUAAGUUACCACGUUAUAUUCAUAUAUGAAUAUGUUUUCUCAGUAUAUGAUUAUUAAAACAAAAAAACAAAUGCGCAAGUCUGUAUGUUAUUCAUAUGUGAAUAGCAUAUAAAAAUUAUAUAUAUAUUUGUGAAAAUACCUUGUAAUAUUCAUAUGUGAAUAUACUGUGUAAUAUUCAUAAGUGAAUAUAUCAUCCAAUAUUCACAAAUGAAUAUACUAUGUAAUAUUCACAUGUGAUAUACCAUGUAAUACUAUGUAAUAUUCAGAUAUGAAAAAUAUUAUAUAAUAUUCAUAAGUGAAUAUAUACCAUCUAAUAUUCACAAGUGAAUAUACUAUGUAAUAUUCAUAUGUGAAUGUAUCGUCUAAUAUUUAAAUAUGAAUAUAUUAUGUUUAUUAUAUGCUAUAUUCAUAUAUGAAUGAUACUUAAAUUGUAAAAAAAAAAUUAAUCAUAGUUUUUAUUCAUAACUGAAUAACGAAUGUACUUUAGUAAAAACCUGAUUCAUUUUUAUUCACUUAUAAAUAACGAUAGCUGAAAAUAUAAAAAAAAAAUUUAUUUUAUCUUAAAACUAUAUCAAUAUGGAUGUCUAUUUGUAGAGAAUAAAAAAUCAUGAAUUUUGGUAUAUUUAAAAUCAUUUUUCGAUAAAAAUANNNNNNNNNNNNNNNNNNNNNNNNNNNNNNNNNNNNNNNNNNNNNNNNNNNNNNNNNNNNNNNNNNNNNNNNNNNNNNNNNNNNNNNNNNNNNNNNNNNNNNNNNNNNNNNNNNNNNNNNNNNNNNNNNNNNNNNNNNNNNNNNNNNNNNNNNNNNNNNNNNNNNNNNNNNNNNNNNNNNNNNNNNNNNNNNNNNNNNNNNNNNNNNNNNNNNNNNNNNNNNNNNNNNNNNNNNNNNNNNNNNNNNNNNNNNNNNNNNNNNNNNNNNNNNNNNNNNNNNNNNNNNNNNNNNNNNNNNNNNNNNNNNNNNNNNNNNNNNNNNNNNNNNNNNNNNNNNNNNNNNNNNNNNNNNNNNNNNNNNNNNNNNNNNNNNNNNNNNNNNNNNNNNNNNNNNNNNNNNNNNNNNNNNNNNNNNNNNNNNNNNNNNNNNNNNNNNNNNNNNNNNNNNNNNNNNNNNNNNNNNNNNNNNNNNNNNNNNNNNNNNNNNNNNNNNUAUAUAUAUAUCGUCUUAAACGAUUCCUUUAAAAAAAAAUGAUUUGCCACUAGUCGUAAAAACUUCAAACUUUACAUUGCAAUUAAGUGCUUUAUCGUUAUUUAGAACUAUUGUAUUUCCUUCUGUUUUACAUUGAUAGAAACAACCACAAAAUGUUAACUCACAUCAAUGUACAAAAUAAGCUUAAACAACAACUAUUAAAAAAUAAAUAAAACAAUAUUUACAAAAUCAUUAAUAAAAUAAACCACGAUUAUAUGCAUCGCCUCUCUGUAGGGAUGAGCAUAGGCGGGUACCCGCCUAAUUUGAUAAGAACCGGAACCAGAACCGGAACCGGCGGUUCUUGAAAUUAUGAAACCGGAACCGGAACCGGUUACAUCGGUUCUCAAAAUUUCAAAACCGGCCCCGGAACCGGCAGUUCCGGUUCCAAUACCGGGUUCCCAGUUUAGUUGUUUGUUUUAGAAUAAUCAAGAACAAAUCAACUACAACAAGAACUAGGUAAAACCCAUUUAUAAAAAUAUUAACUAUGAAUUCAGUUAAAUACGUAAGCAUGCAUAUUAACUGAAAGCUCCUUAUUUGGAAAAAGGAAAUGAAGAGGCCUUAAGGGGAUAUGAAGCAUGAAGUUCAUUUAUAUAACAAUGGUGAGGAACAGACUUUUGUUUAGAAGUGAUGUGGGAUGGAAAUAUGGGAUGAGAAUAAGGGUGAAGUUUAAUCUCCUCCCACUUUUGCCUGUAAGCAUUAAAUCCACAACCAUGCCUUCCUUAAAUCUUAAAAAAUAGGACGGAAAUGAAAUGAAAUGGAAUUAAUUUAACUUCAGCCACAUCGACCUUUUNUUUAGCUUGCUGUUAACAAAUUUUGCAUGUAAUUUUAAUAUAUCUUCAAUAACCAUUACAAUUAAUCAGUAUGACAAACGUAUGUAAUUUUAAAAUAGAGAUUAAUAAUGUGUUUGUAUUUUCAACUUUGCUAUAUAUAUAUAGGCGAGUAGCGGUUCCGGGAACCGGAACCGGGACCGCCUAANNNNNNNNNNNNNNNNNNNNNNNNNNNNNNNNNNNNNNNNNNNNNNNNNNNNNNNNNNNNNNNNNNNNNNNNNNNNNNNNNNNNNNNNNNNNNNNNNNNNNNNNNNNNNNNNNNNNNNNNNNNNNNNNNNNAGCGGAUACCAUGAUGCUCAUCCCUAGCUCUCUGCAGUUGUCCGAAAAGUCCCAUAUUUUAACUUAAAUCUUGAAAAAUGGUUAUAAGAUUAACCUCUUUGGUCUCUUUCUUUUAUUAAUUUAUUAUUACUAAUACCAUCUAAUACUAUAAAUUUAAUAAAUUAUAAAAAAAAAAAAUAGCGAGCACAAUGACCAUUCUACAAGAAUUUAAAAGUAAUAUUACUAUUUUGAAAUUAAAUUUUAAUCGUAUUUGAUAUUGUAUAAUCUAUAUAUUGAAAAGAAUUAAUAAAUAAACUUAACACAUAAAACCGGGAUACCAGUAGCCCUUACGUUUUCAAUAAAUUAUAUAAUUAUUUAAUAAAAAAAUAUGUAAUUUUCUAUAAAUAGCAUCCAUCCGACGGUAGCACCAGUAACCAUGGCUUCUUCUCUUUCCUUAAUGCUUUUCUGCUUCAUCUUCAUAUCAUUCGCCAUCUCAGACGCUGUUGUUCCCCCCGCCGACACUUUUCGGUAUGUCAACCAAGGCGAUUUUGGAGAAGCCAACUCCGAAUACGCCCCAAACUAUCGUGCUCUUCCUCCAUUCACAUUUCCUUUCCAGCUAUGUUUCUACAAUACGACACCCGGUGUCUACACUCUCAGUCUCCGCAUGGGGGUCCGAAAUGACGAAUACAUGAUGCGAUGGGUAUGGGAAGCAAACAGAGGCAACCCUGUUGGCGAAAACGCCACAUUCUCAUUGGGCUCCGACGGAAACCUUGUACUGGCCGACAGAGAUGGCCGGAUCGCAUGGCAAACCAACACCGCCAACAAGGAUGUCGUCGGUUUUGCCAUACUCUCCGAUGGUAAUAUGGUGCUGCGUGACUCCAAGGGUAGUUUCGUAUGGCAAAGCUUUGAUUCACCUACUGAUACUCUCUUGUUUGGUCAAUCUCUCCGGAUCCGAGGUCCGACGAAG
rnacentral:lncRNA from 1 species